rnacentral:lncRNA from 1 species
UGCGUCCACCUCGAGGAGGACCACCCCUACGAGCCCCACGCCGCGGUGAGUCAGUCAGCUUGCUUCUUGCUGCAGGACUCUUACUAUAGAUAGUCUGAUAGUGGAUUGUGAACCUGAGACGUGAUGCUCUUGCUUCUUCCUCCGAUUGGAGCUGGAGGAAACGUUGUGGCUUACUGCUUCAGGCGUUGACCUGAUGAAUCAGCUCAUGUGCUCUCGUUUUUGUGGUAUAGUAAACUUUUCAGAGGAUUUUGACUAUCCGUGUGCUGUGUCUAGUUGGCAGAUGCAAUUUUAGGAGAGCCAAGGUUCAGUCAAUUACUGAACUGAAGCUUAUGGCUUCGUAGCUUCAUGCAAAGAAGAGCACUUUGGGCUAGAAAUUGUGGCUUAGUGACAAAUAGGGUGUUCAAGUUGGGCUUGAGAGGAAAGAAUGUAGCUUAGUCCGAGUUUAAGUUUAUUUGUGUGCUUCAGACUAUUGGUUUAAUGACAACACGAUUCCUCUCCGCUCAGCCAAGACCUGUGGGCUGUCCUCAUCACCAUCCUCUGGCACCUUUGGAAUGCGCAAGAUGGCGCUGUUUUGUUUGUGACUAUCGUCCCUCACCCUGUGGUGUUAUAAAUCAGUGUGUGACCACUUUGUCAUCUGGAGCAAACGAUUCUCUCCUGAGUCUCUUAAUUUUGAUUUGUGUUGUUGGCGUAUUUACCUUAGAACAUAUAACUCUAAGAUCCCCCAUGAGCCAGGGUAAACAUGUGCACUGUGAUCAAAUUCUCUAAGAAACUUGGUUGUUACAUGAGUGCUUGAGAAAGUUUUGGAUGAUUUGCAUUAUUUGACGAUAGAUGAAAAGGUGUCAAGAGAUGCUAUAAAACUUAUGGGAGAAGUUUCUUCUGUUUAAAUGUGUGACCUGAUUCCAUUGGUUUGAGAGGCGAUAGUUGGGAUAAUGGAUUCAAUUACUACAUUUGGCUCGUUAUGUAAUAAUCUUAAAAAAGUCACCUUCUUGUAGCAAGGAUAGUGCCACCUUAGUUUAAGUCAUCCUAGGUGGUCCAGAAUAACCCUUCUUUAUCAAAUCGCCUCUAUGACAAGUCAUUCAAAAUGAGCACCUCAUACUGCUUCUGUUUAUGCUGUACUGUUAGAUUGCUAGCAGAGGUAGUGUUCUCAUUUUCAUAUUUUCCUCUCAUUUCAGCCCUGCCCCAUUUGCUCCCAAAGGAUUACAAGAGAUAUGCUUAACCAUAUCACCAUGCAACAUGGUUACUUGUUCAAGGUUCACCCCUCUGCCUUCCUCCCUCUCUCUGCAAUAACAUUCUAAAUAAAAUUUCGAAGCCUUCUGACACCCCAUUUUUAUUUUCUACUACAGAAUGGUCACAGGUCUCGCAGAUUUAUUAUUCCUGAGAGAGAUGCGAUUUCUUUAUUGAGCCGAGAUCUGCGUGGUACUCAUUUACAUGCUCUUCUAGGGGGUGUUCAUGGCCACAGAACAAAUAAUGCAGUGGCCACAAACAUUUCCAGUGAUCCUCUUCUUUCAUCUUUUGGCCUGAACUUCUCAACAUCAGAUGCACCAGAACCAUCAAAAUCAGCAUCUUCUAUUCCAGAUGGUGCCUCAAUACGUAAGGAGAUACCAGUUCAGCCUUGGGAAUCAAGGUAUAUAUUACUCCUGUUAUAAGUUUGCUAGAUUCUUUAUGGGCUAUUUUUACAAUUGUUUUCCAAAUUUGAAGCUAUUUUAUUAAUUUCUUGCAUGUCUGCUGAAAACAAUCUCAUUAUGAACCUAUUGCAUCUUCUGUUCUCCUUUCUACUAUUCAAUUACCUUGCAUACAUUGGUUUCUUGAUAUAUGCUGUUGCCUGAGGUUUGGAAUUGCACUAUGAUAGUUCACACUUCCACAACCAACAAACUUCAAUGAAAACUGAUUUACUGUUAAAGCACAGAUAAUUCGCUUUACUGUUAAAGGAUUCACGUUCACAGGGGGGCAGAGCUACAGCUUGUCAUCGGGGUCCGUCGACCCCGAUGGGUUUGAUAAUUUCAAUGAAAAAUUAGCGCAUAUAGUACUAAAAGUUCCUAAUGAGUAAUAUGACCUCACCUAUUUAUAGACAUGACUCCGAUAAUCAUGUAGUCCAGAUUCGCCACUGCACAUUCAUGGCAUUUUAGACAAAGGAUUUCACUUCAUAGAUGUUUUUUUUUUACUUCUCAUUUACGUAUGCUGUCAAGCAAUGUGCUUUAGUGCUUACAAGUUUCAAGGGCACACUUCCUUAUGUAUGAGAUACAGGAACUUCAACUUCUGUUUCCUUUUCGAUGGCAGUAUUGAUUCAUCUCUGACAAGCGAGGAAAGGGAGCAAAAGCGGAAACAAGCUACCGACAGAGCAACCUUUGUGCAAGGCCUAGUGCUGUCUACUCUAUUCGGAGAUUGAUUGUUCAAAACAGCCCUAGGUUCUUGCACUUGCUAGAUCGGCACUUACUCCUGCCUGGUCCACAUAGUCAGAUAGUGCUCAACCCGGUUUGGUGCAUCUAACUCUGAUGGCAGGAAAUUCGCCUCAGGAAACUUAGCCGCGUUCAUCUUUGUUUCAGUGAAUUGCGCAGUUGAUUCUACCAUGAUACAGCUUUGAUUUAAGCUAGCUGUUGUUGUACCUUUGUUUUUAUCAAUUUAUCAGCCAGCAAUUCUUAUCUGUAACUCACUGGUACAUUGUGUUUGUACCGACAUACAUAAUAGCUGUAACAUCUACUUACACAAUGCAAGAAAGACACUUGUUCGAGAGCAGUUGCCAAAGUGCAAAUCUUUUUUGUUGUAGUAGGGAUGAAAAUGAUACGGAUAUUUUUCGAUUGUAUUCGAGAUCGAAUUCGUUUAGAGAGGUUUAGAUCUGUCCGUAUCUGAGUCCGAAUAUUCAAUAUCCGAUACCGUAUCUGUAUCCGAAUACUUAAAUUAUUUAUGAUGUCGAUAUCUAAUCGUAUCUUAUCUGACAUGAUUAACAUCAUCCGUAUUCGAAUUCGAAUCCGAUCAGAAAUAUGAAAAUAAAUAUGAUAUUUCGAAUACGACCAGAAAUAUGAAAAUAAAUAUAAUAUCAGUAAUAUCCGUCUGUAUCCGAUUCAUUUUCAUUCCUAUUGUAGACCGCCUCAGUAUUCUCAGCUAUGCUGUGCAUAAUGGAGACACGAAUGAUGCGGUUGGACCGAGGUUGUAACUUGUGUGGACAAGCUGCUGUGGAAGUUCACGUUGGCUGACCCGGCCGGCGAGCAUUGACCGUAGAUCAAGAAGGCAGCUCCAGUACUUCGGCUGUCGUCGUAGAAGUAGACGUGUAGAACGAAGACUCGAAAAUGCUGCUUUCGUGAAGGCAGAACCAUGCUCGUCCAGGUGAAGGUGAACUGUUUCCAGCGUGAAAACAGUGAAGUCGCUACUGCUAAUCGCAACGCCUUACUCCAUAACGUGCCUGUCGGUCAAAUUAUUUUAACUUCAACUAGGUUUAUAAAAAAAUAUAAUCCAUAUCUCUAAAUAAAUUUAUUAUGAAAGUUAUAUUAAACAAUUUUCAUCUAUAUUAUAAAUAUUAAGAUUUUCUUAUACAUAUUUGGUCAAAGUUGAAAAUAUUUGACUUCUCAAAAGGUAAGAAUAAUACUCUCUUCGUCUUAAAUUUAGGUCAUUUUAACUUUCUUGAAAUCUCAAGUUUAACUAAAUUUAUUUAAUAAAAAUAAUAACAUUUAUGGUAUAAUGACAUUUACGAUACAAAUAUAAGUAUUAUUUGAUUCUUCAUUAUUUAUAUUUUCAUCUAAUGAUAUUAAUUAUAUAUUAUAAAUAUUAAUAUUUUCUUAUAUAUAUUUGUUCAAAGUUGAAAAUAUUUAACUUCUCAAAAGAUAAGAAUAAUAUCCCCUCAUUUUAAUUUUUUUAGAGUGUCAAAGCAUCUCAAAGUUUAACUAAAUUUAUAUAAUAAAAUAACAACAAUUAUGAUACCAAAUAUAAGUAUCAUUAGAUUCUUCAUUAACUAUAUUUUUAAAGUGUACUUAUGUCGUACCAUAAAUAUAAUAAUUCUCACUAUAAUUUUAGAGAAAUUUAAUAUGCUUUGACUUAUCAAAGAAUAUUUGAUGGCUUGUAAUUUGGAACACCUACUCCUUCCACCCCAUUAAAAGUAUUUCUUUUAAUAAUAGAUAGGGCGGGAGGAGCAUGUGUCGUAACCUUAUUUUGAUUUUGGCCUUGUUUGGUUCCAAUUUUUUUAAAAAAUAGACACUGUAGCACUUUUGUUUAUAUUUGAUAUAAAUAUUGUUCAAUCAUAAACUAACUAGACUCAAAAGAUUUGUCUCACAAAUUAGAGUCAAACUGUGUAAUUAUUUAUUAUUUUUAUCUAUAUUAAAUGUUUCAUGCAUGCGCCGUAAGAUUCGAUGUGACGAAGAAUCUAAAGUUUUUUGCAAAUUUUUUUGAAACUAAAGGCCUUUAUUGUGUUUGGUACAACGGUUUUGAUAUCCGAAAUAUCUUUGGCCUAUGUACUGCAAUAUUAAGAGCGGACAUAAAGCCCGGUAUCCGAAAUCCAAACCAAAAUUACCUGAACCCAACCCUGAAAUGCCCUCAAUUACAUGAAAUAUCCGAGAAUAUCAAUUAUCAUGUAAUUGCGACCUAUUGAUCCAUAUAAUUGUUCAUGUGUUUUGUUCUAAAAUACCACUAAGAGCUUUUUUUAUUGCUUAAACUUAAAAUUAUAGUUCUACCUCAUCUGGAUUUUUUUUUGUAGUUUUACUAAAGUCAUGUGGUAAAAGAAUGCCCGAACCCAACCACAAAAUAAUUUCAGAUACUAUUUUCCUCAAAAAAAAAAUGGAAAUGCGAACUGAUUUUUUCCGGUAACCCUGAAUACCCACGGUAUCCAUCCAGAAAUCAAACAUGGCAUGUCUAUUUGUUGUAUAAAGCACGAGACGAAGACGAGGCACAUCAUGUCAGCAUCUCGUGUGUAAACAUGCACAAGACAGGUUAGAUUCAGCCCAACAGCGCACAUGUAUGGAUCAGGCAAGAUAGCAUUUCCGGCAGUAGCUUAGACGUACAGAAUUACUCCUCCCCACAACGCUGAGAUAUGUGCAGGUAAGCAGAAAUAGCAUUCCCUUCACAGCAAAAGAGUAGGGAAGAAACCACGGUAUAAGUAGCACUCAUGAUGAAGUUUUGUACAGCCUUGACUAGAAAUCUAAAGGCUAUCAAAAUGAAUACGGGACCGAAUCGACAUCUCAUUAGACUGACUAUCAUCUCUACCAUGAAAAUUCUGAGUGUACAUCAAGUUAAGAAGAAUUGGUGAUAAAUAGAUUGCCUGUACAGGGAAGAGCUAGCAUCUACUCUACGCCAUAAAGCUUGUAUAAACCUGCACAGCAAUCUUGAUUUUAGCUAUCUGUUUGAACAAUAAAUGAAUUUAAUUGACAACCCACAGUGAAUGUACCUUAAGCCACGGAGACAGCCUCCUCCAGAAUAACGAAGCAGCUCACUUUGAGAAUCUGUCAGUUGGAAUGUGUAUUUAGCUGCAAGUCAUAAAGCAAGUGCAAACUCUCUUAAUCUGCAGUUCAGUGUGCAAGAUCAUCCUAUUUUCAACAUUGAAUACAAAUAGUAGCACAUGCAAAUAUAACUGUACAAAAGGGAGACAGGACUAAGCGGGGAGGGACAAAUUGGCAUUUUAUCAUAGUAAUGACUCGAAAACCUCCACAACAUGAUUGCAUUCUAGCCUCCAAAAAAAUUUGCACAAUCUUCAAAAGCAUAAGAUUUAAUGCAAAAGCUAGCAUUCCCGAGGAACAAGAUUGAACGAUUGAAUAAAAUAAGGAAAACAAUGCAUAUUUUCAAUCAUAUACAAAGUGGUCCCAAAUUGUUACUGAAAUAUCAAACAGACAAACACAAAUCUAAUCAGAGGCAAGAGGAUGUCAUCAGAAACCAGGUGACAACAUUUCAACGCACUAAAAGAUGACAACAGGCUUUGUACGAUGUACUUUUUGUGCCUCCUUUGUUUUUUUAAGUAAUGACUUUGCUGUGGAGAUCUCCCACACAGUUCUUUCAUUAAAAAAAAAGAUAAUUGGCAAAUGCAGAAGUACUGAGAUUGCCGUAGCCAGCCAAUACAUGGGAACAGGGUGCGACAAUCAUAGAAGCAUAGGAUUCUGUCUUUGAUUUCAAUAAAAGUGGAAAUCUUGUUUCUAGAAAUGUCGGUUUCCAAUCAUAUUCGUUCCAGCCAAUAUGCAGUCAUAUCUAGUGCUCUUAAAUGCAUUGUUUAUAGACACUGUUGUCAAUACUCAAUAGCAAAGAGAAAAUACAAGUUUAAUGCAUCCAUAACAUACCUCAAAAUGUGUGUGCCUUUUUGCCAGUAAUGAUUUGGGAAAUGUGAAGUCCCCUGCUGAAAGCUUCAUUGAACAGGAUCCUUGUUUGCAUUUCCUGAAGCCCAGGCAACCAUGAUAAGACAGCCACAGGUGCCAUAACAAUUACUCCAAACAAUAUGUCAUACAAACGUGCCACAGUAACCACAGUUUUCCAGACCAUCUCAGAUCUCCUCAAAUAUGGCUUGAAUACGAGAGCAAUAGAUACGAUUCCCCAGCCAGUUGGCAGAAAAGCCAAAAGACUAGUAAAAGUAUCAACAAACUGAAACUUUGUGAAUUCUAACAGCACAACAAUAGCAGCCACUGUGCUCCCAACAAUGAUUGCCUGGACAAGUCGAUACCGUAUGUGCUUCUUUGCUGAAUAUCUAUCUCGAAAGUAUGCCACUGUCACAAGAGCCACAAAAGCUAGGAGGAUGCAUGCCCAUGAAAGAAGAUAGACAAGGAUGCUUCUACUCUGACCAGCAAUGUGAAGCCGAUAAACAAUUGCAUACUGAAAGAAGAAAAAUCGAAGGUCUAAUAUGAUUUCCAAGAUGCAGCCCCAUAGACCCGUCGUCCGGAGAUGACCAGUUUCAUCCUCCCACCACGUCUCCCAGCUUUGAUCUGACUUAACUGAGAUCCCACCUCUGAACCAGAUCCAGUUUAGAAAAUCCUCAAAGUCAUUAAAAUUCUUCAGCCAGUCAAAACCAGAGGGAUUAAAAAUGAAGGGAGCAAGAAUCCAUGACGACACAAGAAACCAACUUGAAAGUGUCAGCAGAAUAUACACCAGUGUAUUCCCAGAUGCGCUGCCAUAAGAUGCAUACAGAGUUAAUAUCACACCAAGUUCUAUAGCUUUGAUGAAAUGGCUGCGAGCAUAGAGCCUAUAGUUUUCAGCAAACUUCUUGUGCUCUACAACAAAGCCUCUGCCAGUGGCCCGAUACUUCGCUCCUCCGUGAAGGAUCGUCCUCCCAUAAUAGUGUGUCUUUGUCCCCAUGGAGAAUGUGUAGAAAACAGAUGCAAACUGUAGCUGCAUUUUCAUGAAAUCCCACGCAGCAGUGAGGAACCCAUGCUCAAGUGAGUUUUCAAUAAUCAUGGGUAAAGCUGUGAACAGGCCUAGCUGUAUGACAAACUGCUGAUUGAGGACAGCUCCCAGGGCUGCAUUAUUAGAAGAGGAAGUGUUCUUGCUGAUAUAGUCCUCAAGCCCACUGAGUGCAAGGUAAAAGCGCCCCCAUACAAAUGCAUAGACAGUUAGCACAACCAUCAUUGUAUUGAAAUAGAAUCCAACAGUUGUAUAGAAGAAAGAGAGCAUCCGGAAGAAAUCCAAUCGGUGGCCCAGCCUGUAAACAUCUCGGCUCAAAGUUUGUUCACCAUUGCCACUAGCAACCUUGGCUUCAAACAUUGAGACCUGGUUGAGCCCCACAUCUCUACCUUUACCAACCUGGAUAUACUCAUGGUGUGUAACAUUACCGCCACGGAGGGUACAGUUGAAACCAGCAAAUAUAUCCUCACUAAUGUUGAUUGUUUUUGAUGCUUUACUGAUACCACCUCGUCCCAAAAACCAAAGACGAUCAAAAACAUCUGGGUGGCCAUAAUGCAUUCUGACUUUAAGUGGAUCAGCCAGAACACGCUGCCCCAGAGUGACAAAACUUGUCUCCUGGGCAGACAUGAACCAAGCAAGAGAAGAAACUGAACCCGUGAAGACAUGUUCACGAACCCCAAGAAUUUUAGGCUUGCGUAUUCCAUAAUAACGAUUGAACUCUUCUAGCAGGUUUCUCAUCUUUAGAGCUUCUUCAAAGUAGUUGUCUUGGUUCAUAUCAAUCGUUUGAACUGCAUCACCCCUCGUGAAGAUGAGUGCAUGAUUCUGAUUUUCUGGCUUUCCUUCGCCAACCUUCAACUCUCCAGGCAACUUAACCCGAUAGAUUUCAACCUCCCUCUGCAAUUGCUGAUCAUACUUCACAAGAACAGAGAAGUACUCUUUUUCGUUGCCAUUGAUCUGCCUUUCGUCAACAUAGGCAACACGUAAUGCUUCAUAAUUUUUCAUUAGUUCCAAUAUUUCAAAAGCGUUGGGGUCAUUCUUAGCUUUCUGAUCUCCAUAUACCUGGCAUGCAACUACAUAUGUGUAUUUCAUGAGGACAGUCCCAUACUCGCUUCCUUUAAAUAAGGAGCUCACACUACUGCUUGCUCUGCUCAAUGCACGAGAGGAAGAUGCCCUGCUGUAAUACCCUGACCCACCAGCAACCCCAUCAUGCCUUGAGGAUCCAAUUCUUGAGGAACCCAUAGUAGCUAACUCCCUUGAUCCAGUCUUUAAGUCAUGUUCAGAGGCAGAAUCCAGAAAUGUCAGCAUUUUGAGAGCUUCAUAAUAGUACAUCAUUCCCCUCACUGUACGUGAUAAUGUCUGGCCCCUGUAUGAGACCCAGUGCCGAAGAUCUCUUAGCCUUUCCUUCUCACUGUACAGCUCGUUAAUAUCAGACAUCCCCUCACGUUUCAUUCGCUCUACAAAGUACUCCCACUCAUCUGGGUAAAUCUGUUUUAGAUAGUAUAAUAUUGAGAUGCCGUCUUCAUUCUCUUUAUAGAGUUGGUCCUUGCUGUACAACACCUCCUCCCUAUAAUAAGGUGUCAAGACACUGAAAGCCAUCAUCUUCUCAACCUGGGUUGCCCUUGGUAUGUUCAUAAACAAUGAAUUGCUGAAAAAGGCAAUCCUCCGACGAGCUUCAAGGUUCUGUGGGACAUUGAUCAUAGAGUCCCUGGAGGUCAGGAUGGUGUGCAUGCGCCUCACUUGCUUAUAGAAGGUAGCAUUCUCCUCUUCCGGAAGCACAACUGCAUCCACAAAGAGAAGACUGGUGGGCCUUGAUUGUGCAAGACCAUCAUUUCUCAAUUGUUCCAUGCUCCUCUUCUCAGCCUGGAAAUCACGAACGACAACAUCGUAAAGAGUCUGCAAGGCAUUAACUAUGUUGGUAACAUCUUUGGUGGGCUUGAGAAGGAGGCCCAAUAGAGCUACAAGCCUUGUAUGGAUAUUAUGCAGCUCAGUCAUCUUAUACUCCACAGUGAACUUCUCCAUCUUCAUGGCUCCAUCAAAAUCACUGAAUAAUUGUGUAACAAUGCCAUGCUCCUCAGUCCCCUCCUUGAUGAUCUCAAGAAGCAAGUGUUUUGCACUAUCAUAGACCUCAAUCACAGCACAACGACGAUAAUCAUUCUUGCAUAUCUUCCUCCAUAGCCUGCGAUCAGGUCCUCUAACCUCUUUUGCCUGACCAAGUGCAAGGGACAGCUCAUUACAGAGCAAGAAACAAGGCCAACGGAUUACACGCACAUUCCACAGCUCAGGCGGCAGCUCAAGAAGCUCAACCUCACGAUCACUAACAAUGUCCUCCUCCCGGAACUUGCUUAUUAUCUCAUUCCAAACGAGUGCAAACCGUCGUGCCUCCACCUGAUUUGACUCAAUCUUCCGAAAGGAUCGGCUGAAACCGUACCUAAGCUGUAAUCGCUGCCAGAAAUUGCGAAGACGGCUGGGCAAGAAGCUCUCAUUCACCUGCUGCUCCUCUGGCAUGAUGUUGAAUGACAUGGCACUUGCAAAGAACUGGAACCGAAGUCGCAGCUGUUUCAUGUCCCUGAUCUCCCCUAAAUGUGCAAAAAGCCCCACAAAUGCACCCGUCAGAGAAGAAAAGAUAGCAUACCAAAUCUGGAUAUCCAUGAGGUAGAUCAACACCACUGGCAACCAGAGGACAAACACCGCAAAACGAUUACUCUGUCCAAAGAACUCAUGCCAUGUAUACUGGAUUCCACUCAGCUUGUAUAUCUCUUUUGUGGGUUUUACAAGUGGCCUGAUUUGGAGAAAAUAGCUGAAGGCAAACUUCACGGCAAGCAAAAGCACCCAGAAGAUGGAGUACUUGACAUUGUCAAUGGUGCCCUCACGUAGUCCUCGGCCAACAAAGCUGCGGCUCUGGAACCACCAGGUCAGGGCAUAACAGAUCUUCCAGUUUGUCUUCUCCAAAGCGUUUCGCACCCAGGGCACAAUGAAGAGCACAAUAGCAAGGACCUCAGGGAUAACAAACGCUGCAGCUGCAUAGAGGAAGCUCAUGAUUCGUGAAUCAGCUGCUGAAGACCACUGCCCAUUGCUUGACCUCUGGUCCCAGAUCCUCUUGUAUAGGACAGCAAACGCAAGGACCCAUGCGGCUGCAACAAUGGCCUUGAGCACCAUGCGCAGAGCAAGCAUGCGACCAUCCCUGAAUGCGCGGCGGAACUGCGUGCCAAUGUCCAGAAGGGACUGGAGGAACCGGAGCGCAGCCCAGGUGAUGAAAAUGGAGAGCACGCGCGCCUGUGUGUCCUUGGACUUUGAGCCCCCGGAUGGGAGCAGAUCAUCCCACGGCCACUUGGCGCCCUCCCACGCCACGAUCGCUGCAGCUUGCAGGUAGAGAACCAGCAUCACCCAGAGCCUGUCGAAGCUCCGGUAAAUGUUCCAGAAGGAGCGGACCUCGACGAAACCCGUCUUGCGUACGCGGCUGCGGUCGGGCGGGGUGCGGAAGAACUGGCGCGACUGCUCCAUGGGCCAGCCGAGGCGGUCGAAGACGUCACGGCGCCAGAAGUACUCGUUGAUGUCAUCGUAGUUCCUCCAGGCGGCGUGCGGCGCUUUGCCGUCGCGGCUGGACUUGGCCUCGGCGCUGAUGACGUCGUAGAUGGGCGUGACGACGCGUGUGAGGAAGGCGUUCUCGCCGUGCACGGCGGGGUUGGCGGGGCGUCCCGUGGCGUUGUCAAUGAAGCCCUCGAGGAUGCGGUGCAGCUCGCCGGCCAUGUGGUGGUAGAUGUAGCAGAGGCACUCGGGCACGAAGCGGAGGUUGGCGGCCUCGCCCCAGACGAGCAGGUGCAGGCCCGUGUAGAGCAGAUCGGCGCGCGGGUCGCCGUCGGGGAUGUAGACGGAGGGGCGGCGGCCGAGGAAGCCGCACCAGGAGGUGUAGUUGCGGAGCAGCUUCUUGCGGAUUUGGCGCGCGAUGCGGGGCUCGAGCGUGUCGGAGAAGUCGGCGGAGGAGAGGCGCAUCUGCGCGUUGGCGAGGAGGAGCACGAGGUGCUCCCGCUGGUUCCUGACGUUGUCGCGCUGGAAGCCGAAGAAGGCGCCGAGCCAGUCCAUGAGGUCCUGGUCGGCGCGCCACUGCGAGAAGGGCGGCGGGCGGAGGCCGCCCACGGCCCGGAGCGCCGCCGCGGCCGCCCGCACCUCGGGGAACCGCAGCGACGGGUGCUCGGCGAGGAGGUCGUGGAUGGGCAGGAUGUUGUAGGGCUCGCCGCCCGCGGCCGCCGCCGGGGCGGCCGCGCGUCGCUGGGUGCCGCGCGGCGUGGUCAUGCUGGCAUUGGGGUGGGGUGUGAUGGGUUUAGGGCUGGGCUAGAUCUGGGGAGCGGGGCGGCGGCGGCUAGAGAGGUGGAAGGGGUGGAGGCGUGGAGCUGGAUUCUCUGCAAGGAAGGCUGGAAGGGAGACGGCCGGACGGGUCGGUGUGGGGUUUGGGGAUGGUUUGAAAAUUGAAACCCGGGGCGACCGUCGUGGGGAAGGGGAUGGACGAUGGAUGGAGUGCCGGGCGGGCGGGCGGGACCUGUGGGGCGGACCGGCGGACUGGCGGAGGCGGGCUGGCGCCUAGGCCUAGGGGGUGGGCGGCGUGGGGUUGAUUCCUAGGCCUUGUUUAGUUCAUCCGAAAUCUAAAAAAUUUUCAAGAUUCUUCGUCACAUCGAAUCUUACGGUACAUACAUGAAGUAUUAAAUAUAGACGAAAAUAAAAACUAAUUAUACAGUUUGUCUGUAAAUCGCGAGACAAAUAUUUUGAUCAUAGUUAGUUCACGAUUAGACAAUAUUUGUCAAAUAAAAACGAAAAUGCUACAAUAGCGAAAUCCAAAAUUUUUUCGAAACUAAACAAGGCCCGAGUUUCCCACGCGAGUGAGACGCGACGCGAACUGGGCGACCUCGCGUGAUUAGCCGGAAUUCCAUGAAGCGAACCGGUGAGAUGAAACGGGGGAUGUGGUCCAGCUCUUUGUUUUGUGCUCGGUUUUGGAAUGGUUUGAGGGUUUAUUUUUGGUAAUAAAAAUUAAAGAAGGAUAUUACCAUUUCCAUGCUAUGUUAGUAAUUAGGUAGUACUAAGGCCUUGUUUAGUUUGACAAAAAAUAAAUCAAGAUUUCCUAUCACAUUGAAUCUUUAGACGUAUGUAUAAAGCAUUAAAUAUACAUAAAAAUAAUUAAUUACACAGUUUACCUAUAGUUUGCGAGACGAAUCUUUUAAGCCUAUUUAGGCUCCGUUUGGUUUCCAUUGCUAAAUUUUAGCCAACUAAAUUUUAGUCACUUUAGUAGCUAAAGUUCCAAACACAUUGGCUAAAAAUGAGCUAGAAUAGUUAAGUAACCAAAAUCCCCCACACUAAACAAGGUCUUACUUUUUUCGAACUAGUUUCAUGCAAGUUGGAAUGUUGAAUGAAUGAAUGGUGAGAUUGUUUCUGACAAAAAUGAAAAAUGGCAUGAAUAGUGAUGUGUUGAACACUUUGGCGUGAAUAAGAGCACUCACAAUGCAGACUUUAUCAUAAAGUCUAAAGUUAUUUAUUACCUCGAACAAUGUGUACUUAGGGCACUCCUAAUGCAAGAAACUACAUAUAGUUUCUAUACCCAUUAAUUUCUAUAGACACUAUAAAUAGAAACUAUGGUCCCAAUGGAUAGUUUCUAUAGAAUAUUUUUAUAUCCAAUCACAUUCAUUCUCUCUCCAUUCUUAGCCAAUCAUAUCACUUCAUGUCUUGGAUUUUGUGUAGACAUGGUUUCUAACUUAGAUCCAGUUUCUAUGAUUUUUACUCUCUCUCUCUUCAAUAACUACAUUGCCACAUCAGUAAAAUGCUUAGGUGGCAUUGUAAUUAAUGUCUAUAAAAACCACAAUAGUUUCUGCAUUUGGAGUGCUCUCACAAUGCAAACUCUAUCAUAGACUCUAAAGUUAUUUAUUAUCUCGAACAAUAUGGACUUAGGGCACUCACAAUACAAGACUCUAUCACAGAGUCCAAGACAAUUAAUUACAUAUUAUUUAUGGUAUUUUGCUGAUGUGGCAGCAUAUUUAUUGAAGAAAGAGAUAGAAAAAAUAAGUCUCUAAGUCUUAUUUAGACUCUAAGUCCACAUUGUUUGAUGUAAUAAAUAACUUUAGACUCUAUGAUAGAGUCUGCAUUGUGAGUGCCCUUAGAGUCCAAAUAAGACUUGGAGUCUUAAUUUUUCUAUCUCUUUUUUUAAUAAAUAUGUUGCCACAUCAACAAAAUAUCAUCAAUAAUAUGUAAUUGAUUAUCUUGAACUUUGUGAUAGAGUCUUGCAUUGUGAGUGCCUUUAGAGUCUAAAUAAGACUUGGAAUCUUAUUUUUUCUACCUCUUUCUUCAAUAAAUAUGUUGUCACAUCAGCAAAAUACCAUAAAUAAUAUGUAAUUAAUUGUCUUGAACUUUAUGAUAGAGUCUUUCAUUGUGAAUGCCCUAAAUCGAGCAAUAUAUAUUUGCUCCGGUCAUUGAAUAAGUUUAGUCAAGGCAGAACCAAUGGAGUAAAGAUGUCACGUUCAUGGUAUUUAAGACAAAUACUUUCACAAGGCAAGUUGUUUGGUCAGAAUAUUGCUUACCUUUUGCAGGUCUUAAUUAGACAUGGUCCUUAGAACAGCCUAAAAAACCUCUCAACCAACGUAUCCCUUCCUACGUUGACGUUUUAGAUAACUCAAGUGUUUUCACGAAGCUUGACAUUUUGGUCGCGUGGGGUUAUGCUAGACGUGCCUCUUUGCCUCUGCGCGAAAAAAGAAGUGGCCACCAGGGGUCGAACUUAGCCUCUGCGCACUAGCCAGCUAAGUUGGUUUAUUUUAUUGUACAGAGAGCACUCGUAAACAUAUUUAUUAGAAACAGACAUAAAAAAUUAACUCCUAAUUAAUUAUUUUUUGGUUAUCAUAAUCAUAUCCUAAACGUCAAGAAUUAUGGGUAUAAUGGGAGUAGCUUGAACUUUGGACUGAGGAUACUAUUGUUGCUUGUACGUACCACUCUCCACGCUAGAAUAGACAGUAGCUUCAACUUUUCUAUUUCUAUUUGGACAUACUAAGGCCAUCCUCAAUGGAAGUUUCAUGACAUAGUUUCCAACACAUCUAUAUUUUGGAAACAGUGCAUAGAAGUUUCAUGGGGAUGAAACUCUCUCUACUCCUAUGAAACUCUUAUCAUCUCUCUCUUCAUUAAUAUAGCGCCACAUCAGCAUAUUUAAUGUGCAUGAAACCUCCAUUAAGACUGGCCUAAUUUUUGAAUGAAACCAUCACUACUACAUGUCUCCAUUAGUCACGCCCUACAAGAAAUUGGGCAUAUUUCAUAGUUCUUCUCAAGUCCUCGUUUUUUUCUAUGAAUUAAAAACAAGCCUUGCAUUGAUGAUGAGUUCAAGUUUCGCAUUUCAACCAUAGCAUAGGAAUUUGUUGGUGUUGAACACCGAACCGAUAAAAAAUGCUACAGAAGUAAAUAAUAAAUGGUCUAUUCACAUAAAUGGACUAGUUAUUCUUUAUUUGUAUAACUAGUCAGAUGCCUCGGUAUAGAUCUUGUGAACAAGCAUGACAACAAAAUCAAUAUAUCCCCACUAUUUUUCUCACAAGGUUGACCUUACCACUUUUUAUCCACCAAUCCAUAAUACAAAAGGAAAAAUAUCUCUAGCAGAUCCCCUAUUUUCUCAACUAUCCAACCAUAAACCUUUAUAAUGCUCAGAUUUCAACCACAACCAAUUUGUUAAAUUUAAACACCUUAAUUUGAAUUAUGAAAGCUAAUUUAGUAUCCACCAUGUCAUAGGAAAAACAAAGUACAUAACACAUGCAAUCAAACUAGGUGUCUAGGUAUGGAUGGAUUUGCAUCAUUUAUGUUAUUCCCACAAACAUGCUCGACCAAAUCCUCUCGAAGUUUCUCAUGUGUUUGCUUGUCUUCGAUAUACUCAUGUGAUCUUGGUCAACAUAGUGGGUCGUCAUAAAAAAAGUCAUCUACAAACCAUGUACCUGACUUAAAUAAAGAGAAGACAAUUCAAAUGCACAAUGGACAUCUAAGACAAUAUUUUUUGUGUCAGCUACAACGGAUUUGCUAUUACAUCUUCUAUCCCUUUAGUCUUUAGGUGAACUCCUAAUCUAUCACAUCUCGCCUAAAGAAAGGAGAGAUUUGUCCCCCUAGAUGAGUUGGUUGGAGCAAAGGUCUCUUAUAUCUAAAGUUGCUUUUGAAAGUUUUCCUAAUUGAUUUCAGGGGGAAGGACUUUGAAAUGUGGUGGAAAUGCUCUUAAGACCCUUUCUGGAAUGAAGAAUUUUUUUCUUAUUCCUCACAUCUUUUCCUCGUGAAAACGAGCUGACUCUAUUUGGCCUAAAAAGAAUGUAGUUCUAGGUUUGAGUCAAAAUUUCUUAAGUUUGGCCAAAUUUGUUAAAAAAAUAAUAUCAACACUUAUGUCUCCAAAUAGAUUUAUUAUUAAAACAUAUUUCAUAACUAAUGUAAUAACUUUUAUUUGAUAUUAUAAAUAUUAGGAUUAGGAUUUUUAUAUAGACUUAAUUAAACUUAGAAUUAUUUAUCUUUUCAUUAAGUAAGAAUUACACUUUUUUGUUUAGGGCGGAAGAGCAUGGGCGGAUUUAGGGGUAUUCCCCAGUAUUCUCGGGAAUAUCCAACUAUUUUGGUACACUUUUAUGUAAAUAUGUAUAUAUACUUAUAUAUAUAAAUGUAUAAUGCUAUAAUAUAUAGUACUUUCGCACAUUUAAGCUCAAAACAUGUAAAAAACUAGCAUUUCAGUUAGAAGUCUAUAUUCUAAAAAUAAAAUAUUAGUUUAAAGUUGCUGACUCGCAGUGCGAUUGACUAUAUUUUAAACCUAUAGAUUUGAUUUUGUGGAAGUGGAAAUAGCCAAGUUUGAAAUCUUAUAUGGUUUCUAAUCCACGCGCUCCAAAGGACCCUUAUAAGACUUAAAAGACCGGGGGGCUCAUUUGCAAUAAACCAUCACCAUCUGCAGUUGCGCCCGCCGCCGCUACAAAAAACAAAAUGGGAAAAGUAGGUUCAACGUCAGCGGACCGUUACACCCUCGGAGCGGCGCUUCAGCUCCAGCAGUCCAGCCGGCCCGGCCGACCAUCACACCGCAGGCGCGCGCGGUGUCCCGGGGCCGCGGCACACUCCAGCGUCGGCAGCGACGGAUCACGGAUGAUACAUCUGCGAGGAAGGUUCGAACAAACGUUCCUGGUCCUCGCCCUUGCUGCUUCUUCGGCCUUGUUUAGUUGGCAAAAUUUUGGGUUUUUGGUUACUGUAGCACUUUCGUUUUUAUUUGACAAACAUUGUCCAAACACGGAGUAACUAGGCUCAAAAGAUUCAUCUCAUAAAUUUCAGAUAAACUGUGUAAUUAGUUUUUAUUUUUAUCUUUAUUUAAUGCUGCAUGCAUGUGAUCAAAGAUUCGAUGUGACGGGGAAUCUUGAAAAUUUUUGCGAAAGCAUCGCAGGUCAGUCCAGCCGUCCUCUGGGGCCUUGUUUAGUUCAAAAUUUUUUAUGAAAUCGACACCGUAACACUUUCGUUUGUAUUUGAUAAAUAUUAUCCAAUCAUGAACUAACUAAGGUCAAAAGAUUCAUCUCGUCAAUUUCAACUAAACUGUACAAUUAGUUUUUAUUUUUAUCUAUAUUUAAUACUCUAUACAUACGUCUAAAGAUUCGAUGUGACGAAAAAUCUGAAAAAAUUGAACUAAGGCCUUGUUUAGUUCCGAAAAGUGAAAACUUUUCGGAACUGUAGCAUUUUCGUUUGUUUGUGACAAAUAUUAUCCAAUCAUGGACUAACUAGGAUCAAAAUAUUCGUCUCGUGAUUUCCAGCUAAACUGUGUAAUUAGUUUUUGUUUUCGUCUAUAUUUAAUGUUUCAUGCAUGUCCCACAAGAUUCGAUGUGACGGGGAAUCUUGAAAACUUUUUGGUUUUCAGGGUGAACUAAACAAGGCCUAAACAAAGCCUAGAGGGAAAAAAGAAAAGAAAAGAAAAGAGAAGCAUCGCCUGUCUGUUCAGAUCCCGAUCAUACGGGCACGGCACGGGGCUGGAUCAGGGUCAGGUCAGGGGUCCGCGCUGCCAUGUGAGCCGGCGGUGGGGCCCGACCACGCGUUGGUUUGUUGAGCUGCAACUGCAGGCGCGCCUCUUUUGUCGCCUGCGCGAGUAGCCGGGAAAACGACGGCAACCAGUUAGGGUCCGACGCGACACGGUUGCUUGCGAGCCCCCCGGGUGGCCACGCAAACCGUGUGGAAAUCUGUUACGCUCAACCUUGUGAACGAGGGAAUCGUCUCGCCUCACGGCUCACGCGUGUGGUGAUCCAUCGUUUUACUGACCGACCAUGUAACAUCCUACUACUGCUAGUAUCUGCUCGGCGAUAAGCUACUGCGAUGACCAAUCGUCGCUAGAAACAAUCCAGCAGGUCUUGUUUAGUUUCCAAAAAAUUUCAAGAUUUUCAGUCACAUCGAAUCUUACGACACAUGUAUGAAGUAUUAAAUUUAGAUGAAAACCAAAACUAAUUACACAGUUUAUCUGUAAAUCACGAGAUGAAUCUUUUGACUCUAAUUAGUCUAUGAUUGGACAAUAUUUGCCAUAAACAAACGAAAGUACUACGGUGCCCAAAACCUAAAAAUUUUGCCAACUAAACAAGGCCUGAGUCCUUGCAAAACGACAGUUCACUGGACCGGAUGAGUUCCUUUCGCCACCCCCGGCAGGAUCCGGAAGGUAGCUGAACAACCUCAUCUGCUCGUCUAAAUAUUUGCCCAAACAGGUACUGAUGCGUGCAACCAUGAUCGGCCCAGGUUGUCAUUUCAGGACGGGGGGUGACGGUGCUAUUAGUAUUAACGAGAAAACAGAAAGUACAGGCACUUUUAUCUCUAUACUAGGCGCUCUCUCUCUCUCUCUUUUUUUGCUCGCAAAAAAAAAAAAAUACUAGGCUCUUUUUUGGGAAAAAGAAGGCGCAUGUGGAUUAAAAAGAGACCCAUGUGAUCGCCCAUUCCAAGGCCUCGUUUAGUUCAUCCUAAAAACCAAAAAAUUUUCAAUAUUCUCCGUCACAUCGAAUAUUGUGGCACAUGCAUGAAACAUUAAAUAUCGAUGAAAACAAAAACUAAUUACACAGUUUAGCUGUAAAUCACGAGACGAAUCUUUUGAUUCUAGUUAGUCUAUGAUUGGAUAAUAUUUGUCACAAACAAACGAAAGUGCUACAAAAAUUUUCACUUUUCGAAACUAAACAAGGCCCAAACAAAAAUAUGUACAAACAACCUGACAUUUUUUUUUAAGUACGAGGGCUUAGUUCAUCUCAAUUUCAAGAUUCUUUAUUACAUCAAAUCUUGCAUGAAACAUUAAAUAGAAACAAAAAUAAAACUAGUUACACAAUUUACCUGUAAAUUAUAAGAUGAAUUUUUUAAAUCUAGUUAAUCCAUGAUUCAACGAUAUUUAUCAAAUAAAAAUAAAAGUUCUAUAUUACCGAAAACUAAAAAAAUUUCAGAAAACAAGGCCGCGAGUAGUAGACUAGUAGCUAGCUAGGCACAUCACAUCAACUAUCCCUUUCAGACCCUUUUUUUUUCUCCUUGAAGAAUCGUUCCUUUCAGAUUCUACAUCAGACAGGUCGCAAGAUUACAGAUAUACCUAUGAGAGAUUAACGCGUUGGAUGAGGAUGACAAACUUGUUGAUGGCUCCAUGACCGUAUGAGAUCAAUUCCAGCCCGUCGCACUCUGAGAAAGUGGCUUCGAUGUGACGAAAUUCUCACGCGCAGGUGGUCCGGACAGGAAAUAUUGUGUAAGCUUCGGUGCUGAGAUUUGGCGACGUGGACGCGCUUAGUUAAUUAAUCAAUGAAUUGAACACGGUUACACGUAGAGAUGAAAGUGGUAGGGAUAAUUCUCCGUUCCGAUCCGCUCUAAAUUGGAAUUUUAAGGAUAUAGAAAAGUGUUUCUAAUAUCCGAGCGGAUACAGAUAAUCCGAAUCCGAUUAUAUGAUGCGGUGUAGGAUAUGAUAUUGGCGAAAUCCAACGGAUAUAGAUUAUCCGAUAAUUAAAUUUGGAUUAUCUGACACCUAUAAUAAGAUAAUCUAAAUAUUUUAAGGAGCCCAAAGCGACAAUAUGUAGCCCACAAGUAAAACACGUCGACUAUCUUUACACAAAGAUGGAAUGGUAAUUCUGUGACUGGCUGAUUGCCUAUUUCACUGUCGCUUGAUUGGUGGCUAUAUGUAUAUGCAAGCCCGUGCCUCCUAGCACCACUUAGGCAACAAAAUAAUUAUCAUCUACCAAAGUGGAGGACUAAUACACGACAAAAGGCAAAGUUUCGCUUAAUUAAAAAUAUUUAUUUCUUUUACUUUAUAUGCUUGUUUUAUACUCUUAAAUCCAAACUGAGAACUUGUAUUAAUUUUGUGAUCUCCUAAAUUGAAGUGGUGGACUGAUGGUGAUUAUUUCGAGUUGUACUACCGCUUUAUGACUUUGGUUAAUGAAUUAUUUUUCAUCAUAAAAUAACAGCAUGUAAACACAUAUUAUUCGACUUAAAAAAGUCCGCUUCUGUUUCGACACUGGUCCGAAUCUGUACCAUUUCCGACAUUCUAAAAAUUCAUAUUCGCAUCCGAAUCCACAUGAUAUCUGAUCCACUCGACCAAGUAAAAAGGAUUAGGAUGGAGAAGUCAUUAUCCGCUCUGAUCCGAUCCGUUUUCAUCCCUAGUUAGAUGACAAUGUGGUGUUAUUAUCUUAGGCCUUGUUUAGAUCUAAAAAGUUUUUGGAUUUUGAUAGUGUAGCACUUUCGUGUUUAUUUUACAAAUAUUGUCUGAUCAUGGAGUAACUAGGCUUAAAAGAUUCGUCUCGCGAUUUACGGGCAAACUGUACAAUUAAUUUUUGUUUUAAUCUCUAUUUAAUGCUCCAUGCAUAUGCCGCAAGAUUCGAUGUGAUGGAAAAUCUUGAAAAGUUUUUGGUUUUUGGAUGAGUUUCCACUUCCGUCACAUCGAAUCUUACGGCACAUGCUUGAAACAUUAAAUAUAGAUAAAAAUAAAAAUUAAUUACACAGUUUACCUAUAAAUCACGAGAUUAAUCUUUUAAGACUAGUUACUCUAUGAUUGAACAAUGUUUGCCAAAAAAAAAACAAAAAUACUACAGUAGUAAAAUUCAAAAAAAAAAAUUACAACUAAACAAGGCCUAAAGAAAACCUUACUGCAUCCAUGAUCCAUGGGACUCUGGCAACGUAUGACAUAGCACGGAAUUCCCAUUCGAUUGACCGCUUAUACUACCAUCAAUCAGGUACCACACUCUGUUUACGGGUUCCGAGCAUCGCCCAUGUUAGGCUUUGGCCGCUUGGGCGUAAGAUAUUUGAGCUGGACAUUGAAAACCAGAUCAAAGUCCGAAGGAAUGCUGUGUGCAGAUAUGUGCAUUCUAGUCGAACCAGUAUCGAAACCACAUGGCAUUAAGGUUCUGUUUGGAUCCUUCGAUUUUUGCCUGUUUUCAAGAACCUGUCUUUUGGAAAGUAGGUGAGAUCGAAACAGGUCAUUUUUUUUUGCUAGCUUAUAAAUAAGGAAGCUGUUGAUAAUUAGCUUGAGCGAUAAAUGAAGUCAGAUUCUAAAAACUGAGGAUCCAGACACGCCCAGUUUUUACUCAGAAUCCAGAUUUUAGAAACUAGAAGCAAUAGAACAGUUUUUAAGAAUUAGAAACCGAUCCAAAUAUAAGGCCUAAGCUAACCACCUAGUAAAACCAUUGUAUUCUGGAUUUCUGGGAGAACUGGACAAGCAAUUGCGGAAAACGGCAGUGGCAGGUCUUUGCCCUGUUCAUAUGCACCGUUUUACUUGGAGAACUGACAAGCAAAUAUAAGGCUAUUGUAGAUGAAAAAAUUUUGGAUGUCACAUCGGUUAUGUCGGAAGGAUGUCGGGAGGAGUUUUUAGAAACUAAUAAAAAAACAAAUUACAUAGCUCGUUUGGAAACUGCAAGACAAAUCUAUUAAGCAUAAUUAAUCUAUCAUUAGCACAUGUGGGUUACUGUAGCACUUAAGGCUAAUCAUAGACUAACUAGGCUUAAAAGAUUUGUCUCGCGAUUUUGAACCUAACUGUGUAAUUAGUUUAUUUUUUUAUCUACAUUUAAUGUUUCAUGCAUGUGUACAAAGAUUCGAUGGGAUGGAUGAAAAAAUUUUGGGUGGGGAACUAAACAGGGCCUAAGGCCUAAGGCCCUGUUCAGUUCUCCACCCAAAAAAUUUUCAGGCCUAAGGCCCUGUUUAGUUCUCCACCCAAAAAAUUUUCAUCCAUCCAAUCGAAUCUUUGGACACAUGUAUCAAACAUUAAAUGUAGAUAAAAAAUAAACUAAUUACACAGUUUAGUUGAAAAUCGCGAGACGAAUCUUUUAAGCCUAGUUACUCCAUGAUUAGUCUUAAGUGUUACAGUAACCCAUAUGUGCUAAUGACAGAUUAAUUAUGCUUAAUAGAUUUGUCUUGCAGUUUCCUGACGAGCUAUGUAAUUUGUUUUUUUAUUAGUUUCUAAAACUCCUCCCGACAUCCUUCCAACAUAUCCGAUGUACACGUAAAAAAAAUUUCAUCUAUAAUCUAAACAUGGCCUAAAGCAGGCUGUAGAGCGAUUCGAUUCGCCUGCAAGCAUUUGGCAAGUGGCAAGUGGCAACGCAGCGCAAAACCGGCAGGCACCUUUGCUGCUUUGCGCAAGCUGCCGGUUCUUGCCCGUGGAUUGCGUGAGCGCGGGGAACGCGGGAACGCCGGACCAGGAUUCAAUCAACACACCGAACGGGGAAAACAAUCCCUUCAUGAGCGCACAACAAAGCCACGAGUGUGGGGCCGCCUAUAGGGCACCCUCGUGGUGAAGGAAAACUUGAGCCUUGAUCAGAUCUAAAACCUUUUUAGAUUUGGGUAUUAUAAUAUUUUCGUUUAUGCUAAUUAUUAUCUAAUCAUAGACUAAUUAGGUUUAAAAAAAUUAUCUCACAAAUUACAAUAAACUAUAUAAUUAGUUAUUUUUUAUUUAUAUUUAAUGCUCUAUGUAUGCCAAUAUUUAAUAUGACCAAGAAUUUCAAUUUUUUUUGAAUUUUUAAGUGAACUAAGGCCUUGUUUAGUUUCCAAAAAAUUUCAAGAUUUCCCAUCAUAUCGAAUCUUGCGACAUAUGCAUGAAGCAUUAAAUAUAGAUGAAAAUAAAAACUAAUUGCACAGUUUACCGGUAAAUCACGAGAUAAAUCUUUUGAACUUAGUUAGUACAUAAUUAGAUAAUAUUUGUUAAAUAAAAAUAAAAGUGCUACAGUGCCUAAAAACAUAAAAAGGAACUAAAAACAAGGCCUCGAAUGAAAGGAGAAGUGAGCAUUGCAAGUGGGAUUCUGCUUUCUUUGGGGUCUCCUGGCAUGGCAGUCAGUGGCAGCAUCUGCAAUGCUCUUGCUCCGCAGUUGCCGCCGCGCGCCGUCGUUUUUGACGCUGCGGCCCUCAGUGCCCUUGCCCAGUUGCCCUGUGCGAGAGAAAUUGACCGUGCAACUUCUCUCGGCUCUCACUGGCUCGCCGAUUGGCAAAUGGUGAUUGUUUUAUGAGCACGGGGGGUUAAAAGAGCAUUAACGAAUUAAUUAACGUGGACAGAUCAUGAAGCGACCAAGUGGGGUGUUUGUGCUGUACGCAGUGCGCCCACGCACUGAUGACCGAUCCAUUCCACGGGAUGCCAUCUCAGAUGUGUCGGGCAUUGGGGACGGUUGGGUGAUUGGGUCUCUCCGUGGGAGCUAUUACACUCUCGGUCCCACUUGAUGAUGUUUUCAUGGAUCAUCAUGGUCCAUUGCAUCUAUGAUGAGGUCAAUCGAUCGAGAUAUAUAGGGUGAAUUACAAGAUGGCUCUAUUACUUUUUAACUAAAAAAAUCAAAUCAAAUCAAAAUGACGAACUUCAUGACUACUCAAAUUAAUUUAUUUCGGAGAAAACGUGAUUCCCUCUCAAAAUCAAAAGAAAAAAAACAGGAGAAGUAAAUAAAAAUGGAAAAAAAGGGAAGAAGUCCGCUCUCGGUACGUUUCGUGGGCCGCGGAUGAAUCCUGCAGACCUACGACUUCACUCCUUCUAUAGGCCUGGCCACGGCCGAAUUCCCCGGCAGCAAACUUGCGCGGCCGGCCUGCUCCACUCCAGCGCCCGCCUCAGAAGCCCAAUCCAUGGCUCUGCAGGAGGAAGCGACGAACGCGUGGGGGUGGCCUUGGCCGCCACCGCCAACGCGGCGAAAGCGAAGGAGGGGGGGCAAGGGCAGACGAGCCGUUUUCUACGCCGCGCCGCGGACGAGAGCAGCCGCCACAGCACCAGCAGCCCCAGCCGCCGCCACGGAGAUGGAGGAGGAGGCCGAGGCGUCCGUCCCCCCCGCCACGAACUACGUCUACGACGCCCUCCCGGCGCUGCACUUCGCCUUCUCGCCGGAGGAGGAGGCCCUCGAUGACGCCGCCGCGCCCCGCUCGGCUGCCGCGGGGCAGGACGAGGAUGACGCGACCGCGACCUACGCCGUCUUCCGCAACGAGAUAACAGCGGCUGGGGAUGCGCUCGCGGACAUCCCUGCCGCGGACUUCUUCUCGCUCGACGUCUCCGCCGUCGAGGCCGAGGCCGAGCCCGAGCCGGCGUCCCCGCGGACCCCGGCGCCCGCCGCUGCGGCGGCGACGCCCUCUGGCUCCCGUGCUUUGGAGGACCAGCCGGCGCAGGGGUCCGAGCGCGCGUGGUUCAGAGGAGGGAGGCGGUUCAGGAGCCCCAUGCUUCAGCUACACAAGGGUGAGGGUUUAAAUUUGGUGCAUUGCGCAGCGGAUUUGGUAGCUUCCCGUGCUUCAAUUAUCACGCAACUAAAUAGACUUUGCUCUGCUGUGGCAUUAAAUUACUGAUGGAGUGAAGUGAUCAGUUAUAACAGAUUAAAGAUCACAUUUUGUUGAGUAAAUAAACCAGAAUAAUCUGGGCUUGGCAAUUAUGGUGUUUUGCAUUAUAUAAGUAUUCGAGGCCAAUGCAAACCAUAGGUUCUAAUGUCUAGAAAUCUGCAUGAGGCUUUUGGUGCUUUUGAUUGCAAUGACAUUCUUCUUGACAGUUAAAAAUCAAACAGAUACAAAUGAUGAACAAAACUACUCUAACUACAGUUUAAAAUUAUAGUUCAUUUUAGGUUUGUCAUAAGUCAGACUUCUCUAACUUUUGAGCAAGUCUAUAGAAAAAUACAGCUAGAAUGCCAAAAUAGUUCCAUUCAGUUCUCUAUGAAAUAUGUCUUAAUAGUGCAUUUAUUUGAACUUAUAGAUAUGUUUUUUCUAAAAAUUUGGUCGAAGUUAGAGAAGUUUGACUUUGGAAAAAUCUAAAGUGAAGUAUAGUUUGGAAUGGAGGGAGUUCCUUGUAGUGAUCUUCAUGUAUUUGGAUGCAGAAACUGUGUAGAGAGUGCUAUGAUGCCAAACACCUUUUUUUUUGGUUCCGAUAGAGCUGAUUGUUAGUUGGAGUUUGCUAGCCAGCAGUCUCAAGGACCAGUUUGAUAUUAUACUUAAGAAAUAGUAAAGCUACUUAUGCAGUUGAUCCAGACAUUCAAAUCACAUUUAUCUUUAGCACUUGAACUAGCAGAACUUGAGAUCAAUAAGAACUUGCUGAUGCAUAUAUGGUUUUGUGAUGGAUAAUUUGACUGUUGGAGUACUAAGGUAUUGUAUAUUUGUUGCAGAGAUUCUUGACUUCUGUGAUUUUAUCUCACCUUCUACUGAAGAGCAAUCUUCACGAACAGCUGCUGUGCAAGAUGUCUCUGAUGUUGUCAAACAUAUAUGGCCACAGUGCAAGGCAUCACACUCUUUCCCCCUCUAGUUUGUGUCAAAUAGCUGUGAACUAUUUUGGUGAUUCCCACUCUUGCGUGGCAGGUGGAAGUUUUUGGAUCUUUCAGGACAGGUCUCUAUCUACCAACAAGUGAUAUAGAUGUAAGCAUUCUUCUUUCCUCCUCUUUCUAUGUUUCUAGCUUGGUGCUUCACUUUAUCUGUUCCAUUGCGUUGUAUUAAUUGCUGGAUCAUAGUGCUUACUUUGUUAGACAGUAUUAGUCUCUAUCUUACUAUGAAGGAGAAGGGAGAGCUGGAGAUUUGUUUUUGUCUUCUAAUUUUGUUUAGCGGCACAUUAGCUGAGGUCAUUAUAGCCGUAACUAUUCACUGUCAAAUUUGAAGCAAUAGAAAGUGCUAUUACCGUAAGUAACAAUAUGAUUGAGAUAAUGGAAUAAAUAGUAGGGGAGUAUUUAGCAACAGAAAAAGGUAAAGGUGGACUUCCAUCCUAUGUUUCUGCUGUUGCAAUUGCAGAAAAAACAUCAAACUGCCGUAUAGGGAGGGUGAAAAGUGGUAUAUGCAUCAGUUCAUGCUAACAAUAUCAUCAUGUGUUAGGUCAGAAGGACAUGCUAUGUUUGUAUGGACCUAUCUUCACCUUGUAUUUUUUUUCUUGAACGACACAGGAGAGCUGCGUGCCAUUUCAUUAUUAAGAAGAGAAAGAAUACUAAGGAGAGACAAGAGCCUGCUCCUAGUACAAGGGAGAGAAAUUCCUUGUAUUUGCACUAGCUAAUUUGAUAUCGACAGACCUACUUUGUUUGUUCUUUGUAGCGCUCCCUCCGUGCCACUAUGUUUGUCCAUAACCUCGAGAGAAUGUCUCACAAUGGUUGUCCAUAGAGAGAGUGUAGUUAUUACAAUGUUUUCAUUCUCUACCCUCAAUCAAGUGCUUUGGAAAAUGAGAAAUGGUUGCGUGAUGUUAUUUAACAUGGGCAUGGACAGUCAUUUCACACUGAAUUCUCUUGAAACACAUACUGGGUUAGUGCGCCGGUGUGCUAUGGACAAACAUAGUGGCAUGGAUGGAGUAAUUGAUAAAGAGUUUCUAGGGUACAUCACCUAAGCUUGUUGUAAACUAGCACUUCCCAUGUUUCACCUGGACACACAGGGUCAUGCACCUUCUUUUUAUGAAAUGCCUAUCUCCUUCAUCUGCUUAAGUUCAUAUUAGGCUUGUUGUUGCAGGUUGUAGUAUUCGAGUCCAGAGUUAAGACUCCUCAAGUUGGUCUAUAUGCUCUCGCAAAAGCAUUGUCUCAGAAAGGUGUUGCUAAAAAAAUACAGGUCCAGUUCUCACCAUUUUUUUUUAAAUGUUGUGCAAGAAUCUCCGUGAGUUUCUUCUUGUUCAUAAAAUACUCAUAACAAGAUUUUCUACAGGACAAAAUACUGUUUUUUCCCAUCAAAGAAACAACACAAUCUGUUACCCAAUUGAAUUAACCACGUGGGAUGAUAACUGGUUGGUUACCUUGGUAGGGAACAUGGCAGAGGGCUUUCAUACCUUAAUUUUGCCAUGAUAUCCCUUGCCUUUUUUUGUGAAUUGCUGGUCCUGGCCCCAUGGCUGCCGACCUGCCGGUUGCCGUCCUCCAAUAUGAGCAGAGAAACACACGGGAAAGAAGAUAGCGAUGCCGGGGUUUAGAAAGAUGAGGAGGGUGAAAAGUGUGGAGCCUGUGGUGUCAUUGAGCUGCCUGCCGAACAUGUCGCACGAGCAGCACAGGCAAGAUCAGGUGACCAGCACAGGCACUUGAGAAGUGUGAAGCAAACAAACAAGCUAGAGAUAGAGGAAAGUUUUGUAAGUUGCAGCAGCAAGUAGCUGCUGCUGUGCCUAAUUUGGUAGACAUGAGUAAUUAGCACUGCAAGAGCAAGAGAGGCCAGGCAUGAAUCAGUGAAUCGGGGCAUUGAACUUCUUGCCACUAUUAGCGUGGCCCACCUAAUCCCUCUCACAUUUCAGUCCAGUUUCGCAAGUCUUGGAACUUGAGUGCUGCUCUCUCUCUCUCUCUCUCUCUCUGCCAUUGACCAAGCAUUUUGCCUAUCUGCCUACCAUCCCCACUCCUGAAGGCUGAACUGGUAGCCCUAGAUGACGCGCCAAACUGCCAAUUCCACAACACGAACUAACCCCGUGAUACCUCAAAUCUAAUCUGUCUUCCGCCACCGGCAAGUGACCAAAUGUCAUCAUCUGACAUUGCCACUUUGUCAACUAUUAGUUACUGAGUUGCUUAUUUUGUCAAUGGAUUACUGUUUUUCUUUUGCGGCAGGUAAUAGCAAAGGCACGUGUGCCAAUUGUGAAGUUUGUGGAAAGAAAGAGUGGAAUAGCUUUUGACAUCAGGUGCAGUUUUGUUUUCAUUGCUCAGACCAAUACUCAACUUCUUUUUCUGUUGUCCCAGUUCUCUGUUAAUAAUCUUCCUUUUCUGUUCCAGCUUUGAUAUGGAUGGUGGGCCGCAGGCAGCAGACUUCAUCAAGGUACUUGUUCAACUGGACAACUAACUACUACAGUAACAGAGGCAGCAUGUACUCUGUUUGAAGCUAAUCUGUGGCAGAUAUUCAACAUGUACUUUGGCUUACCUGAUUGUUUUGGACUACCACAAUGAUCUUUUCCAUUUUGUACUGUAGGAUGCUGUGAAGAAGUUGCCUGCUUUAAGACCUUUAUGUAUGAUUCUGAAAGUUUUUCUGCAUCAGAGAGAGCUCAACGAGGUACAAUUGAACAAAAGUCAGUGACUUGUUGCUUCUUUAAUUAAAAGUUGGUUGUGUCAUUCCAGAUUUCUAACCAUUACACUUUUUCUUGGUAGGUCUAUACCGGUGGAAUUGGAUCAUAUGCUCUUCUGACGAUGUUGAUCACACAUCUACAGGUGAAAUGAGAUUUCACUUUUUGAUCUGGAAAGCCUUUUCCUUAUGAUCUAUCAAGUAGGAUUUUGAGCUGAUAUUUGAAACUUGUAUAAACCUAUAAUCCUAUAAAUGGUUGAAAGCAAAGAUGAUGUUUUGUUAGGUUUAAGUUCUCCUAAAAAAUGUUGAAGUUCAAUUAAUAGAACUGAAUUAUUUAGCUCUAAACACUUGUAACACAACUAUUUCAGCUGCAUUGUACUUCACUGAUUGUGUUAUUUUUUUGCUUGUCUGAAGUUGCAUUAUUUGUGGGCCUGAAAAUUCUUUCUUUCUAAUGAAUCAUUUACUACUGUGUUUUUUGUUCUUAGUUGGUCUGGGGAGGAAAAGAUAUUCUUGGUUAUCAUCAGUCCAAGGAGCACAAUUUGGGAAUUCUUUUGGUAAGUGAUACUUUUGUUAUUAUUGUUCCAGUCUCAGAAUAUUUUCAUAUUGGCUCACUGCAAAGUGUGAGCUUUAUUUUCCUACCUUGAAAUUCUUGUUUCAUUCUCCCUUGAGAUUUCCCUUUGUGACAGUGAAGAAAAGUCAAUGGACACCCCUUUAUAUUUUCCUGCUCUUUUAUGGCAGGUCAGGUUCUUUGAUUUUUAUGGACGCAAGUUGAACCAUUGGGACGUUGGAAUAUCUUGCAAUUCUUCAAGGACCUUUUUCUUGAAGAGUGAUAAAGAGUAAGUUGAUGAUUUAAUAGAUGAACUUAUGCCAGAUACUUCACUGAUCAUUGACUUGCAAAUUUUGUUGAGCUGGGAACAUAUCUUGCUUUCAUUUAGUUUGUUCAUUGUUUAAAAAUAUUCUGUUCCUCUUUGUAGACUAGCAAUAGACACUGAUAUGUGAUUUCCUUAAUUCCUUUAAUAAUUGGAAAACUUGUCAGGUGGUAGGGCGAAAUUGUUUAGUUUCUCCAGGUCUAACCUUUUUAUACUAGUUUAUUUCUGCGCUUCUCUGAUUCUUCUUUUAUUAUGCUUUUGUAGCUUUAUGAAUCAUGAUCGGCCACAUCUAUUGGCGAUUCAGGAUCCCAUGGUAAAAUACCUGUCCAUUCUUUUUCACCUAACUUGAGGAUCUUGAGUUGCAAUGGAUUAACUCAUUCAACUCAUGAUGUCCAGGUACCAGAAAAUGAUAUCGGAAAGAAUUCCUUUAACUACUUUAAGGUAAUUACUCUAGAUUUUUUACUCAUGCUUUUGCAGUGCAUGUUGCUGAUGCUAUGGAUGUGAUACUGGAACUGUUUGAUGCUUUAACUCAUUUUGCCGUUUGCUAUGAUACUAUUACUCUGUAAUCUUUUGACAUAAGAAAGCCUUGAAUAAAUCCCAUUUUUUUCAGGUGAAAUCAGCAUUUUCCAAGGCGUACUCUAUGUUAACUGAUGCGAACUUGCUUACAAGCUUGGGACAUAAUAGGAGCAUUCUGGGUACCAUUGUCAGACCAGAUUCAGUUCUCCUUGACCGGAAAGGCUGGAACAAUGAAGAUAUGUUAGCGGAACCCUGGGAACCGAUCACUCAACAGUUUGACAGUGAAAAUGAUGCAGCAUAUAAUUGGCAUGUGAUAGAUUUGGAUGAACCAUUGCCCAGAAAUAUUCAAUCCACAUCCGAGGACACUAGUUCAUCACCAUCUAAAAAACGGAAGUCCUCAAAAUCAAAACAGAAAUCGCGAAAGAAGUCGAAGGCUGGUGCCUCAGGCAGUAGUGAUGUUGCAAAUGGGUUCAGAGAGGACAGAUCAUCCAAGCGGGAAGCGGGAAGCAGCAAACGGAGGAAAGGACCAAAGGAGUAUGACAGAUUCACGAAUACACACCCAAAGUACACACAUGUUAGUAAGUGGUAACUAACAGCGUUUAUAGUAUGGUCACAAGGUCCAGCUCAAUUUGACAUUGAGAAGAGUAUCAUGGCACAUUAUGGCAUGCAAUGUGAAUGACGAAAGUUAUCAGCAGCUCCAGAAGCCACAUUGUAUGAUUUGCUUGUUUGUCUGUUUAGUUGCUAUAUACAUUUUAUGUACCAGAGAUCAAACUAGAUUAAAUGAAGAUUCGGUUAUUUUAUUUAUGCUGCAGCAAUUUUGGCGACUAGCUUGUAUUCUUUUGUAAUGGCAUCAUUGGUGACGAUGAGUUCUGUAUGUUUGACAUAUUUGAUUGAUGGGCUGAUUGCCUUAAUCACUGAAUAAUAUGUAGCUUUAGGAUAUGAGUGACCUUUGCUCCAGUAGAUUGCUAAAACCUCAAUCUGAUUUAGGAAAGGGAGAGAUCUCCUCUUUAGGGAAAAGGUGGUGGAUUUAGGAGAUCUCUUAAAGAAUAUAUAGGGAUAGGAGAUCUGCAGCUGUUAUAUUUACUAUUUUGGGAUAGGGGAAAGUAAGAACUGGUGCAGAUGAUUUGAAAAGAAAUUGGACAUUCUACUCCGUAAUGCAUGGAAAUCGCAGAUCGGUAGUUCCAACGACCCCAAGCUUCAGAAGCAUUCUCAAUUUCUAUUGCAGUGACAACUGAGACUUGUAGCUAUGUCAUAAAUAAUUGUAAACACAGUUUUCAGCAUUACUAUUUCUGAAUUACUAUAGCUCGUGCGUUCUGCAAAUCUGCGAGCAUCGUUUCUGAGUAACCGCAGCACUUGUGUUCAGUAGAGCAAGCUAAACUAAAAUAGAUGAGAUGAAAUGCAUCAAUAAAACUUUCAAGUAUGUCUACAUGCCAUACACAACCAACUUGAUCAAGCGCGACAGAUUCUGUGAGAAAGCAGCAUCUGCUAAUGUUACCUACGUAGCAAACAUCUGACAAGCUGAUGUAAACCCGUCAUAUAUUCAUAUUCAUAUAAGAAAUGCAUAUAAGUUCGGUUACAAGGAGAUAUGUCCAUUAAAAGUGAGGACAUAUGCCAACAGUGAUCACUCAGCUAACCUACUUUUCUUAUUUCAGAUUGACCUUCAGCUGAAAAAGGUAGAAGGAUCUGUUCUAAUCUGCUGGCUGAUGGGAAAAAAAGGAGCCAGAUAAAAUAGACCUGAUGUGCUUCCAACUGCAAUAUAUGUAUACUAGUAAGUUGUGGAAGCAGUGAAAUGUACCGUCUACCAUCGCACAUUGUCCACUAUGCUGACCACUCACGAGGGGAUGUUACAUUGCUGCCAGCAUUAAGCUUAUCAACCAUUACAGGUUGGGCUGCAGUAACCACUGGGAGUAUCUCAACUUGAUCCCGUGGAUACCCUACAACACUAGCUGUUUCAACCAAAUUUCCAAAUGGAUGGUUGUGCACGACCUGUGGUCCCAAGGGAUGAUACGCCAUAGAAGCAGUAGCUGGAGGCUGAGGCAGAAGAGCUACAACAGUUGCAGGGCAGUUAGAAGGGUUCUUGUAUGUGGAGCUGUAGGUCUGGCCAUUUCCUUGAACAGCAUAGGAUGCAACACUGCAGUGACUGGGCUUGCUUGGUUGAGGUGGACAGGGGCCCUGGCUGUGUAGCUGCACUGAUUGUGGUUGCUGAUGCUGAGCAUUAUGAUCUGCUACGGGAAGCAAUAUUGUAUUGCCUUGGCCAUAAAAUGAAUGGGCAACUUCAUGCUGCUGCUGCUGCUGCGAUGAAGAGUAUGGAGUCUGCCCAGCCAUACUUCUUGUAAUUGGUUCAGUGUUAGAACUUGCAGGCUUCGGGGAACUGAAUGGAGGAAACAAGGGUGUGGCUUGAGCACUCUGAGACUGAGGAGAUGAGGACUGUUGUUGAGCCAUGUGUCGUGAAACUUGUUGAAUAAUGUAUUGCUGCUGUUGCACCAUGGGCUGUUGGGGAUGCCAUGUAUGCGAAUCAACCUGCUGGGUAGGCAUAUGUAGUCUGUGAUUCUGAGGCUGAGGGUACAAUUCAGUCGCUUGACUAGAUUUCUGAGGUAGCUCAACUUGAACCAUGGCUUCAGGGUUGUGGACAAGUGGCUGCACAACUUGAACCAAAGGUUCCAGCGCCUUGCUCUCAGUGGAUUUCACAUGAUCCGGGCUUUGCACAUAGUACACAGGAGCCUGGUUCAACUGCUGCUGAUCAUGCUGCGUUCCCAAAGUGACAGGCACUAGGUGUUGCAAAACAAACCCGUUGCUGGUUUGGACCUGCACGGCAGGGGACUGCAUCCCGUUAACUUGGUGAAGCGGCAAAAGGGUGACCUCGUGUUUUGGAGCCUGUGUGCUGUGGUCAUUUUCCCUUGGCGUGAGCACAGAAAAACCGGUGGCCUCACCCUUCUGAGAGGCCGCCUCAUGUGCUAUUUGAAGCUUGCUGAGUUCUCUUGGAGUUUCAGCUAAGUCCUGCCUAUCCUGAAGAACCUGCAAGGAUUUGUGGACCUGGCAACCAAAAUGUAGAUCUGGUUAUCAAAGAUGCUAAGUGUUAGUCUCAGACCCAAGUGAUACAAAUCUCAUCUCCGGGAACCGUAAGUUGACUCCACUGAAUGUGCUAGCUUCCAGGGAAAUAAACAAUCAGUUAAGUCUAAUGAAGCAUCGUACACCAAGUAUAAUACUAAGUGAGAAAUCCAAAUCGCACUGUCAUUGUCUGCCAUCACUCGGCGGCAUCACUACUCGAGAAGAAGCAAACUAACUGGUGCGCCGGGAGGGAUCCAAUCGAGGAUGCAGGGUCCACGGAGAAGGCAGGCACGGAGGCGGCUUACCUGUCUGAGGUUCUUGUCGAUGCAUCUGAAGUUGGCGGUGCUGUCGCCGUGGUAGUCCAUGACGUCGCUGCGCAGCUCCCCGAUGGACCUCUCGAGCUUGUAGCAGUAGAGCUCGAGCUGCGAGAGCCUGCCCCCGAUGCCGUCGAGCGAGUGCAGCAGCGCGUCGGCCUGCUUCCGCAUGCACUCCUCCACGGCCGCCAUCACGGCGUCCUUGGGGUAGAAGCCGCCGUCCUGCUGCUGCUGCGGCUGCGGCUGCCCGUAGGCGGCGGCCACGAACGUCCGCACCAGCCUCUCGUCCUGCAAGCCGUGCCCGGCGCAGCGGCGGAGUCGGGGUCCGUCAGGCAGGCGCCGAGGGAAGGGAAGAGAAAAUUCGAAAUCAAGAGAUGGCGACGAGAGCAGAGGCAGAGGCAGAGUGCGGGCACCUCGCGGCGGCGGGGCUGGUCGUAGGAGCAGCGCGCGUCCGGGGGCAGGCCGAAGGCGCCGGAGACGGAGACGGAGGCGGCGGCGGGGCGCGCGGGGGAGGCCAUGCGUGGGCGGUGUGGCUAGGGUUUUGGGCUGCUGGUGCUGUGAGGGGAGCGGGAGCGGGAGCCUGAGCUGCUGGGGUUGGGAAUCCGAAGCGGGAGGAGGAAAGGAAGGGGCGGGGAAAGAGAGGGAGGAAGGAAGGAGGAGUAGAGUAUGCACUCGUUGCUGUUGCAGGCACGAAAAAAAAUCUCAAAAAGCAGAGCGCCCGAUGUAAAAACAGCCAAAUGAACAGAGUCCGUACACUGGAACCUGAGAGAGGGAGAGGGAAAAAAAAAGGUGAAAACUGAGGAGGCAAGCAAAGCGGAGCCGGAGCUAAUAUCGGCGAGACGGUGGUGGGGCUGCGGCCUGUGGAGUUCGAGGCGCGGGGAGGAAUAAAAAUGGGGGCAGCGCCGAGCAAGUGGGAUAAAAAUGGGGGUGGGGAAGCGGAGAACAAGCGUGGUGGACCUCGGAGAGCGAGACGGAUGGGAUAUGCUGGCACAAGCUCUUCGCUUCAGAACUCGGCGGAGUCCGUCCACAUGUGGGGGUGGCCGGGUGGGGCUGGAGAUCUGGCGAAAUCUGGUGGGCGGUGGCGGUGGAUAGGGCCUAGUGAUGGCCGGGAAUGGGAAUGGGGGUGCUGUGCCCGUGCUCUGCUGCUCCUGCCGCUCUGGUGUGGAUUGGGGAUCACCUGGGCCUGGGCGAGAUGUGAUCGGUUUCCGACGACGUUUUGUUGGAGCUUCGGGGUGCUCCGUCGCUCUCCCGCCUCGUGUGCCAUGUGCGCGAUUUAUAAGGAGGGUUAGGCCUUGUUUAUCUAGUUCACCUCAAAAUUUAGUUUUUUUAAAAAAAUUUAUUGUCAAAUCGAAUUAUUUGUCAAAAUUUAGUUUUUAUAAAUUACAAGUAAAUUAUAUAAUUAGUUAUUUUUUAUCUAUAUUUGUCAAAAUUUAGUUUUUUUUUGACGCCUUUUUAUUGUGUGCAACAAGGGCCAAAUACUAGUAUACUACCUAAACAUGCAUUAGAAUAAUCUUCACCUCACUUCUCCAUCACAUAGUCUUUGCAGUGGAAUAUUUUUUCAGGUGGCCAUUCAACAUAUUUCCAGUGGUGGAGCCAGGAUUUGAGUCUUGGUAUUCCUUGCUACUGUUUGGUGAGUCGUCACUUAGCUGUUGCCUCUAACCUAACUGAUGUGGGCCCUCGUCAGUCGCCAUGUAGGCAUAGCAUAGAGAUAGAGGCCGCGCCCGCGCUACAUGUCCCGCGCUGCCAGGAGCUUAGGACACUGGGAACCAGUAGUGCCGCCACCACGUCAUGCCUUGUCGGGUAAGGUUAGAGAUUUAGGAAUGAGGAUUAUGGAAUUGUCUCUCACUCAUGCCUCGUUCACUCACAUGAAAAAAAUACUUUUAUUAUACAUGUUGCUAUGUGCAUAUUUCGAUUUAUCUUGAAAAAGAGUUUAGAAACAAGAUAUGAUUUGUACUAAUAUUUGGUGGCAUGAGUCAAUAUGUAUGUGGUUUGAAGAUAAAUAAUUAGGUUCUCAUUUGCAGAAACAAAAAAAAAUAAUUUCAGUAAUCGAGCUAACAUAGAAUCUGUGUGGAAAAAUAAAUACAAGGAUAGAUUAAAAAGAAUGAGAGAGAAAUUUUAUUUUCUAAAUAUAGAAAUGCUAAUAUAUUUGCUAUACAUAUAUAUAAAUAUACCUAUAUAUACUUAGUGCAUAAAAAAGUUGGAUAUUCCUGGAAAUACCAGGAAUACCCAGUGUAUCCGCCCAUGUUUCCAACCCACAGAGGUCAAAGCAUUAGCACUGUUGCUUGCAGCUAGGCCUUGUUUAGAUCUAGAAAGUUUUUGGAUUUUAAUACUAUAGUAAUUUCGUUUUUAUUUGACAAACAUUGUCCAAUCAUGGAGUAACUAGGCUUAAAAGAUUCGUCUCGUGAUUUAUAGGGCAAACUGUGUGUGGCAGAACCUCCUGAAUUAAGUGGCCCACAUGCACACAUCAUUGUCCCAAAGACUUCUGAUCGACGUGCACGAGUUCCAAAUGACUCAAGAAGUCUGUCGGGUGUCCUCGGGAAACCCGAAUCAUCCACGUAACUUUCUUUUCAGGAAUUCCCUCAUCAAGCAUCACAGUAUUACAACAUUUCAUAGAUAAGAGAAAUCAGAGUAAAAGCGGAAAGGUUACAUAACAUAGAUUGAAACUUAAGUUCAAAGUUUACAAACCAUAAGUAUUUAAUACAUAAAAGCUUCGGAACUUUAUAUUACAUAAACCAUAGAUCACACAACAAGUUUUUACUUGCCCAAGGUCACACAUCAGGUUCAUCAUCAUCACUCUCCUCCACAAGAGUAAAAUACCCAUGACCAUCAAAAGGAUAAUCAAGAGAUUCACCUGCAACAUGGGUUAAUAAAACCCUGAGUACAAAAGUACUCAACAAGACUUAACCGACUAUAAAAGAGGUGAAGACUCAGUUAUGCAGGCUAUGGGGAUUCAAGGUAAAGCUUUAACAAGAUCAAGUAUUUCUUUUGCAUAAAAGCUUACUACGAGUAAAGCCUAAUUUCAAGUUUUAACUCAAGAUUAUCACUUAUAACUAGCCAGUAUCAUUAUCCAACUUUCAUAAGCAAAACACCUCUUUCUUAUACCAAAGAUUCACUUAUUACUACGAUGAUGGUGUGAGGAUUGAGGCUCCAUGUCCGAGGAAACACGGCGAUUCGAAUCGAUUAAACCCAGCUGGGGAUUCAGUACCACACGACAUAUGUAGAACUUAAUCUUGCAUAUGUCAACCUUUCCUAUAGAUCCUCCCAUACAAGAACGGGUCCAGCGUCACCCGAGAGUACAGUACACCACCAUCCUACAGCCAAUCUAGAUGUUUCCCGGUCAUCUCAGAUCCGUAAGGUGGGUACACGCUACUCUCGCCAUCUUUCCACUCCCAGUACGCGGUUAGCCGUUCUCAAGAAUCGGAAUAGCUAUAGGUAAGGCUUACCGCCGCAUGUGGGCUGUACUCAAAGGUCUCAAUCACAACAGGCCAAUCAACGGUACGGUCCUUAAUCGACACAGUUGGAGACACUACUUUAAGACUCCAUUCUUAAAGCAAGUCCACCGACCGGUCUCAAGUUGAACAUUAUUGACCUUAAAAGUAUUCCACAACAACCCUUCAAACUUUCUCAUUUGAAAACUUAUCUAAUAAGCAGGACUAAGCAUACUAAGUAUUUUCAUAAAACAAGAAUCAAGGUUAAUAUGGAAAUCAUCAAGGUAGGUAAUGCAGCAAAUAGGAUUCACUCAACUCCUAUUCACCUAAUGCAUCAUAUUACUCAAGUGAUAUAAAUAACUUUAUGAAAAUACAAGGAUAGGGUUUAAUGUCCGGGGCUUGCCUUGGUCGGAGGGGACGUUCGGCAACUCAACAACACUCGAAGGAUCCACAAACUCGGAAGAAACCCACUGGGGAUCAGAUUCUUCCGGAGCGUACUCUAUACGUAAAAGUGCAUAUGCAUGAUUAUGAUAUACUCAUGGCAUGAUAAAGACAGGUUACAUGUUCUUGGAUGAUAACAACAAAAUAUGAUUAUCUCGAGUACACUUUACCUUCAUGGUAAAGAAACAAAUUAAUCUAGCUAUCAAAGCAUAGAGUAUUACUAAACCAAUUUUAUCAUCUUUAUUAAACAAGAUUGUGAAGUUAUCAUACAACAAAGAUCAUUUAUAUGAAAUAAACCAUAACCAGGGAGCAUGUUAUGCCAAGUGACCUCUGGUUAUCAAACAAUCUAAAAUAUCACCCAAAUCCUAAAGGGAUUAAUUAUUUCUAUUUCUUUUAUAAGCAUUUAAAUAGCUUUAUUAAGAAGCAUAGCAUACUUUAUCAAACAGAGCUGAAAUUAAUCAUGAAGCUAGAUAUCAGUUACACAAAAUCACAUAUUAAAUUUCAUGAUUUUUGGAUAUACCCAUAAUUGAUUAAAAAUCAUGGAAGAUUUAUUUAUUAUUAAACAGAGGCAAUUUUUACAUACAUGCAAACUAUCAGAAAAUAGAAUCUAAUAUUUUUCAUGUGUUCUACUCAUUUUAAGGAAGCCAUACAAAAAUUCUCAUAAUUUUUUGGAUUAGCACAAAAUUUAUUACACAAAUUCAAAUAUAAAACUAAAACUGCAGAAAAAGAAAAAGAAAACGUUACUGCACAGUGGACAAAAAUCGGCCCGCAGGCCGGCCCACUCCACUCGGCCCGCGCGGACGCUGCGCGCGCCUCCCGUUCUCUCAGCGAGGUCGCUGACAGGUGGACCUCACCUGUCAGUUCUAUCCCCUACACGCGCGGCGACUCGGCCGCGACUCCGGCGGCCGAUAGCGAGGUCCUCGGCCUCCGCGCGCGCGCGCAUCGGCUCCGCCUCAACUCCGCGACUCCAUAGGUACCAUUCGCGGACGCUCUACCUCACUGCUACCACCUCGGCCACGAUAGGAGCGGGCGGUCGCCAUGGCCGACUGUCGGCCGGCCACUAGGGCCCGGUAGAGAGCAAACGAAAGGCGUAGGGAGGUUCAAGGUGGUUUAGGGAACACGAUGCUCACUUCACCACGGCGGGAGAAGCAGCUGAAGUUGCUGGCGACGGAGACAGUGCAAUCGGGCGGGCGCUCCGGCUCCGGCGAGCUCGUCCCGGCGAUUCUGUUCGUGCCCAAAGCAAAAAAGAGAGCGCAUGAGCUACUAGAACACAAGUAGAACUUGAAACAGCGGCCGGAUAAGCAUGAUACCGAGCAGAAUACCGUGGCCACGGAAAAAGACUCACGGCGGCGGUCUCGGUCGGAGUUGGAGAGGAUAGAGGUGUCCCGGCGAUUGAGAGGGUUAUGGGGCGAGCUUGGUGGUGUUCUGGAUUCGCAAGGAGGUGGCGAACAUCGUGGACGGCUCAAUUUGAUGCGAGGAGGAUCGAGCACGGCCAAUUUGGAUGGGGACGGGGUACUGCUCCUCGGUGCUCCGGUGGCGGAAAAGCAGUCGGUGCUCGCAGAAGAGAAGGGCACGUCGCGCCUCUGGUUGCCAGCAGCUGCUCCACAUCGUCACGGACGUGAACACGCGCGUGGACGAGGUAAAACGGUGGCCAUGCGCUGGCAUUCACCGAUCCAGACUCGGGUGUCCACCGCCAUGAACAGGAGCCAAAGCUUAUCCCCCCCUUUUUGUCUGGUUUUGCAAAAAAACGACCAAAAGAUGAACUGAAGCCAAAUUUUCACCAAAAAUAAACUUGUGCAAAAUUUUGUGAGCUACAAAACAUCUUUUGGUGGCCAGAGCUAAUUCUGGGUGGAAAAUAGCUAAAUUUUCUCAACAGUUUUGAAAUUCAAGCUCAAUUCCAAAUUUUUGAAUUGGGGCAAAACAGAGUUUCCAAAAUUACUUUUGAUUUUGCAUAACAACUUGAAAAACUCCCAACGUGAAAGUUGUUCAACUUUUCAAGCUCUACAACUUUCAUGUUGACCACUUUUCAAAAUUCCAAACAGAUUUUGAAUUGGAGAUUUAAGUUUGAAAAGGGGACACUUUUCGGAAAUCUGUAUUUUCAAAAUUACUUUGAAUUUUGUACUGAAACUUCAAAAACUCAAAACACCAAAGUUGUACAUCUUGACAAGAUCUACAACUUUGCUUUUGAACUCAACUUCAAAUUUUGCUUAGUUUUUAAAUUACACAAAAGGGGACAAAUCUAGGGUUUUGAAAACUAGGGUUUCCCCCCUAAGCCUUUCGGAAAAACUUUCACCCAAGGUUUUUAAACUCCAAAACAAACAUCCAUACAUAAAAUAAACACACUUUACUUCCUAAACACAUUCAUCCAAUUUAAACUUAUUUUAAGUUAAUGCAUUAGUGUGUGCUUAACGAAUUUACGAUGCAAUGCUCAUGAUGACAUGUCAUGUUUUAGUUCGCUUAACACGAGAGUGUUACAGCUCUUUCCCCCUUAAAGAAAUCUCGUCCCGAGAUUUACCUUAAAGUCUAACUAAUGGAAAAGGAAGUUUGUCAAGCACUUCCAAAACCAACCUUUACAAAAACAGGGGUAGAUCAUUAUACUAUAGAUUACAAGGAUAAGACAGAAGAAAAGAACUCAGGAAAACUUUCUAAGAGAAACUCUUCGGAUUCCCACGUAGCUUCAUCUUCAAUAUGUUGAUUCCAUUGCACCUUGUAGUAUUUGAUAGUUCUUCUACGAGUGACUCGAUCUUUUUGAUCCAGAACCUUGAUAGGAUACUCUGAAUAUGUCAGAUCAGGCUUUAACUCAAUUCCUUCAACAUGAAUGAUAUGAUCAGGCACUCGAAGACAUUUCUUCAAUUGAGAGACAUGGAACACAUUGUGUACUGAUAACAACUGUGGUGGUAAAUCUAGACGAUAUGCCACCUUUCCACAUCUUUCAAGGAUUUGAUAUGGACCUAUAUAUCGAGGUGCCAACUUUCCUUUUACUCCAAAACGAGUUACUCCUUUCAUAGGUGACACUUUGAGGUAUACAUAAUCACCAGCCUCAAAGGUAAGAGAUCGACGUCUCUUAUCAGCAUAACUCUUUUGCCUGGACUGUGCUAUCUUCAUGUUCUCUCGAAUGAGCCUGACUUUUUCUUCGGUUUCUUUGACUAAGUCAACCCCGAAGAGACUAUGUUCUCCAGGUUCUGACCAAUUCAAGGGUGUUCUGCACCUUCUGCCAUAUAGAGCUUCAAAUGGUGCCAUCUUAAUGCUCUCUUGAUAACUAUUAUUAUAAGAGAAUUCUGCUAAAGGCAAACAUUCAUGCCACUUCUCUGAAUAACUGAGCACACAAGACCUUAACAUAUCUUCUAAGAUCUGGUUGACUCUUUCAGUCUGCCCCCCAGUCUGUGGAUGAUAAGCUGUACUAUGCAGAAGUUUGGUACCCAAGGACUUAUGCAGAUGCUUCCAGAAAGCAUUUACAAAUUGUGUCCCUCUAUCAGAUACAAUAGUCUUUGGAACACCAUGUAGACUCACAAUUCUGUUAAAGUAUAUCUUAGCAUAUUCAGAAGCUCGAUAAUCCUUUCUUACUGGAAUGAAAUGAGCUGAUUUGGUCAGACGAUCAACAAUGACCCAUAUGGAAUCAAACCCUCUCGAUGUUCUGGGUAGACCCACUAUGAAGUCCAUACUAAUGUCAUCCCAUUUCCAAGAUGGAAUUGGCAACGGUUGCAAUUCUCCAGCAGACCUAAGAUGAACUGCUUUCACCUUUUGACAAGUAUCACAUCUAGCCACAUAACUAGCAAUUUCAAGCUUCAUCUUAGUCCACCAGAAUCUUUGUUUUAGAUCAUGAUACAUCUUAUUACUGCCUGGAUGGAUUAAAAAUCUUGUUGUAUGAGCUUCAUCAAGAAUUUGUUUUCUGAGUUCAGGAACUUUUGGGACUACUAACCGAUCCUUGAACCAAACUACUCCAGCUUCAUCUAUCCUGAACUUGGAAUUCUGCUCAGACUGGAUCUUUUCUUUCAAAAAGCUCAUACCCUUAUUUUCUUUCUGAGCUGUAAUAAUCUGAUCUUUGAUAGAUGAAUGAACUGUCAUAUUUGCAAGACUUCCUUGUGGAAUCAUUUCAAGACUUAACUUCUCAAAUUCAUAACACAAGGUAAGGUUUAUCGGCUUAACUUCCAGACAAUUGCAAUGACUCUUUCGACUGAGUGCAUCUGCCACUACAUUGGCUUUGCCUGGGUGAUAGUGUACUUCAAUAUCAUAAUCUUUUAUCAGUUCUAACCAUCUUCUCUGACGCAUAUUCAAUUCUGACUGGGUGAAGAUGUAUUUCAAACUCUUGUGAUCAGUAUAUAUGUGACAAGUAUUACCCAGCAGAUAGUGUCGCCAAAUUUUGAGAGCAUGGACUACAGCUGCCAACUCUAGAUCAUGGGUUGGAUAAUGCUCUUCAUGACGCUUAAGUUGUCGUGAAGCAUAUGCAAUGACUCUGCCUUCUUGCAUUAGUACACACCCAAUGCCUUUGCCUGAAGCAUCACAAUACACAUCAAAAGAUUUUUCAAUAUCAGGUUGAGCUAGCACUGGUGCAGUGGUCAAUAACUUUUUCAAGGUCCGAAAAGCUUCUUCACACUCGGAUGACCACACAAACUUGGUAUCAUUCUUCAGCAGUGUCGUCAUUGGUUUAGAGAUCUUGGAGAAGUCAGGGAUAAACCUGCGAUAAUACCCCGCUAAUCCUAAGAAACUCCGAACUUGAUGUACUGAAGUUGGUGACUUCCAGUCAAGAACUUCCUGAACUUUGCUUGGAUCUACCGCAACACCUUCAGCUGACAGGACAUGACCCAAAAAUUGGACUUCAUCUAUCCAGAACUCACACUUACUAAACUUAGCAUAUAACUGAUGUUCUCUCAGGCGAGUUAACACUAUCCUGAGAUGCUCUUCAUGCUCUUCUUUAGUUUUGGAAUAGAUGAGAAUGUCAUCAAUGAAUACCACCACGAACUUAUCUAACUCUGGCAUGAACACUGAAUUCAUCAGAUACAUAAAAUGUGCUGGGGCAUUUGUCAGACCAAAAGACAUGACCAGAUAUUCAUACAAGCCAUAUCUGGUAGUGAAUGCCGUUUUUGGAACAUCUUUUGGUUUAAUCUUGAUUUGAUGAUACCCAGAUCUCAAGUCUAUCUUUGAAAAUACCUUAGCACCAGUUAGUUGAUCAAAGAGAAGAUCAAUACGGGGCAAAGGAUACUUAUUCUUGAUUGUUACCUCAUUCAAAGGACGAUAGUCCACACAUAACCUCAAGGUAUGGUCCUUUUUCUUCACAAAGAUUGCCGGACAACCCCAUGGUGAUGAACUAGGUCGAAUAAAACCUUUAUCCAUCAAUUCUUGCAACUGAGUUUUCAAUUCUGCUAAUUCUUUUGGUGGCAUUCUAUAAGCUCUUCUAGAUAUUGGUGCUGUCCCUGGCUUGAGCUCUAUUUCAAACUCCACAUCACGAUCCGGUGGCAAACCAGGUAAAUCUUCUGGAAACACAUCAGGAAACUCACAGACCACUGGAAUAUCCUUGAUUUCCUUAACAGAGGUAGCACAUACUUGCUCAACUGCUCUCUUAAGGGUAGGAAGAUGGAUAAGAAGUUGAGAUUUGCUAUUAGGUAAGUUGACCCUGAUAGUUCUAUUUAAGGUGUCUAUAACUGCACCUCUCUGGCUCAUCCAGUUCAUACCCAAGAUCACAUCUAUACUUGGAUCUUUUAACACUAUCAUGGAUGUUGGAAAUAUAUAUCCACCCAAGUCUAUUGGCACCUGAUGUACCAUUUCCUUAGUGCAUAGUCGACCCCCAGGUGACUGUAUAAAGAACUCAUCUUUGGUUGCACCAAUAGGUAUAUUAUGCUUUUCCGCAAAUGUUCUAUUCAUGAAAGUAUGUGAUGCUCCAGAAUCAAAAAGUGUAAGUGCUGGGUGUUGGGCAACAGGGAACAUACCAAGCAUCACUGGCUCUCCCUCAGGUAUAGCUUCAACUUGAGUAUGGAAAACCCUUCCUGUUUUCUGAGUACCCUUACCCUUCUGCGGAUUCUGGGCAUGACCUUUGUUCUGAUUUGUUUGUUGAUUUCCAACUGGCCUUGGUGCGUUGACAUUUGGAACAUUUUGCCUUGGAUAUGGACAUUCACGAGAAAAAUGUCCACUCUUCCCACAAUUGUAACAAGGGUUGUUUGCAGCUUGUGGCAUUGGCGGACGAAUGGCAGGAACAUUCGGCUGACGUUGAACAUUGAACGGCAUUGUCGGUCUUGCAAAACUCCUCUGCAUAUUCUGCUGCUGAGGCGGCUGAUAAGAAGGACGAUAAGAUGGGCGGAACUGCUGAGCUGGAUGAUAUAUGAGCCUCUGGCGCUUCUUGUUGCCGCCAGAUGAUCCAGACCCUGAGACAAACCCCUUCUUCUUCUUAGCCUCCUUAUGUUUGCGGUUCUUUUCUUCACUGGAGAUAGCAAUGUUCACUGCCUCAUGAUAAGAUAUAUUGCCACAUGAUGCCAUCAUCAGUUGAAGCUUUGUAUUCAAGCCUCUCAUGAAACAAUCCUUCUUCUUUUCAUCAGUGUUGACUUGCUCAAUUGCAUAUUGGGACAGAUGAUUAAACUUUCCAAUAUACUGUAUGACUGAGUCAUCCCCCUGACGGAGAGCUAAGAACUCUUCGAGCUUCAUUUUCAUAACUCCCUUAGGAAUGUAAUGAGCCCUGAAGGCUUCCUUGAAUUCUCCCCAAGUGAUUCGGUGACGGGCUGGUUGAACAGCCAGUAAGUUUUCCCACCAAACCCCUGCUGCUCCUCUCAGCUGCUGAGCGGCGAAAACUGGCUUCUGGGUUUCAGUACAGUUGAUGAGACUGAACUUUUGCUCCAUAGUGCGGAGCCAAUCCUCAGCUUCAAGAGGUUCAUCAGCCUUUGUAAAAACUGGGGGACGAGUAUCGGUGAAGUCAACAUAUGUGGUUUCUUCUCGGUUAUGGCGACCACGGCCACGCUGACCAACAUUCUGGUUUUGUGCUAACAGAGUUGUUGCAUUGACCAAUGCUGCAAUUGCAUCAGCCAAAGAGGGUGGAACGGGUGGUGCAUUAGGAAAAUCAUCCCCACCCUGGGACGAACUAGCUCCAUGGUUGUUAGCAGACAUCUGUUUAAAAACACAUCACACUUUAAUUAACAUACUUACUUAAACAUCAUACAUCAUGGCUUACAUAGCACAAACAGUUCAUCUUAUUUAUCAUACAAGUCCGCUCCUGGGCAGGACUUCCGAAACCACUAUCUUACACACUUCCCAUACUAGAGGUUUUUAUGACUAACUAAGUUACAAAGUCAGAAGAUCACACUCGGUCAUACUUCGUGCCUUCUCAACACCUAGUCGUCAUCCAUCUCCGACUCACUGGUGGUAACACCCUCAUCUGGAGUGGGAGUUCCUGGCUCCUCUGCUUCAUCCUCAGAAGUAUCACUAUCCACUUGGAUGACAACUGGUCCUUCCUCUGCUGCUUCAGGAGCCUCGGGUGGAUUGAGGGCAUCCUGCAGCUGGUGCACUUCCUCAUGGAGGGUGUUGGCAUAGGCCUCAAGAGUGACCACAUACCCAGCCAUAUGGUACAGCUGAACUUCCAUAUUGAUGUUGUCAGUGAGCAUCAGGCGCAGAUCAUUCUUCAUAAGCCUGUAGGUCCUUGGUGAAGGAGGACCUCCGCUAGUGUCACUCCCGUUUCCGUCGCUGGAGUUAUCAGUGCUGCUGUCGCUGCUGUCGGAGGGUGGCGGAUCCCUUGAUGCCAACUGGUGCCUGGGGACACGACCUCCGGUGGACUUGCGAGCGGUUAGGCGGGUACGAGCCAUCUGCCAAAAUAUUUUUAUUUUGAAUAUUAGAACUAUAUAUGUUCCAAGGUUAAAGGAUAGAGUUUUACAAUUAGAUGGACAUAUUACCUCUAAUUAUUAACAACUUUAAGGAGGAAAGUUAAUUACAUGUUAUCAAUAAUGAUGCAUGAAACGUACUUACGAACCAAGCAUACAUCAAACAAAUAAUUAACUUUAAGUUAGGCACUUGAUAUAAAAGUGCAUAAACGUUCUUUUCAUAAAUAGGGCAAUAUUAUAACAUUAUAAGCAUUGUUCCUUGUAUAUAAAUAUCACCAUAAUUAUACUAAGAACAUAUCCAUUUAGAUAGAAGGAUAAGUCUAAAGAAUGAACUGAGACAAGUUAGAAGCAUAAGACAAGCUUAGAAGCAAUUUGGACUCAAACUAAUUUGAAAUUUAGUUUGACUCAAAAGCUUUUGAAGUUUUCCAAAUUGAAUACUGUUAUACUUUCUAAGGGAAACCUGCUCUGAUACCAGCUGUGGCAGAACCUCCUGAAUUAAGUGGCCCACAUGCACACAUCAUUGUCCCAAAGACUUCUGAUCGACGUGCACGAGUUCCAAAUGACUCAAGAAGUCUGUCGGGUGUCCUCGGGAAACCCGAAUCAUCCACGUAACUUUCUUUUCAGGAAUUCCCUCAUCAAGCAUCACAGUAUUACAACAUUUCAUAGAUAAGAGAAAUCAGAGUAAAAGCGGAAAGGUUACAUAACAUAGAUUGAAACUUAAGUUCAAAGUUUACAAACCAUAAGUAUUUAAUACAUAAAAGCUUCGGAACUUUAUAUUACAUAAACCAUAGAUCACACAACAAGUUUUUACUUGCCCAAGGUCACACAUCAGGUUCAUCAUCAUCACUCUCCUCCACAAGAGUAAAAUACCCAUGACCAUCAAAAGGAUAAUCAAGAGAUUCACCUGCAACAUGGGUUAAUAAAACCCUGAGUACAAAAGUACUCAACAAGACUUAACCGACUAUAAAAGAGGUGAAGACUCAGUUAUGCAGGCUAUGGGGAUUCAAGGUAAAGCUUUAACAAGAUCAAGUAUUUCUUUUGCAUAAAAGCUUACUACGAGUAAAGCCUAAUUUCAAGUUUUAACUCAAGAUUAUCACUUAUAACUAGCCAGUAUCAUUAUCCAACUUUCAUAAGCAAAACACCUCUUUCUUAUACCAAAGAUUCACUUAUUACUACGAUGAUGGUGUGAGGAUUGAGGCUCCAUGUCCGAGGAAACACGGCGAUUCGAAUCGAUUAAACCCAGCUGGGGAUUCAGUACCACACGACAUAUGUAGAACUUAAUCUUGCAUAUGUCAACCUUUCCUAUAGAUCCUCCCAUACAAGAACGGGUCCAGCGUCACCCGAGAGUACAGUACACCACCAUCCUACAGCCAAUCUAGAUGUUUCCCGGUCAUCUCAGAUCCGUAAGGUGGGUACACGCUACUCUCGCCAUCUUUCCACUCCCAGUACGCGGUUAGCCGUUCUCAAGAAUCGGAAUAGCUAUAGGUAAGGCUUACCGCCGCAUGUGGGCUGUACUCAAAGGUCUCAAUCACAACAGGCCAAUCAACGGUACGGUCCUUAAUCGACACAGUUGGAGACACUACUUUAAGACUCCAUUCUUAAAGCAAGUCCACCGACCGGUCUCAAGUUGAACAUUAUUGACCUUAAAAGUAUUCCACAACAACCCUUCAAACUUUCUCAUUUGAAAACUUAUCUAAUAAGCAGGACUAAGCAUACUAAGUAUUUUCAUAAAACAAGAAUCAAGGUUAAUAUGGAAAUCAUCAAGGUAGGUAAUGCAGCAAAUAGGAUUCACUCAACUCCUAUUCACCUAAUGCAUCAUAUUACUCAAGUGAUAUAAAUAACUUUAUGAAAAUACAAGGAUAGGGUUUAAUGUCCGGGGCUUGCCUUGGUCGGAGGGGACGUUCGGCAACUCAACAACACUCGAAGGAUCCACAAACUCGGAAGAAACCCACUGGGGAUCAGAUUCUUCCGGAGCGUACUCUAUACGUAAAAGUGCAUAUGCAUGAUUAUGAUAUACUCAUGGCAUGAUAAAGACAGGUUACAUGUUCUUGGAUGAUAACAACAAAAUAUGAUUAUCUCGAGUACACUUUACCUUCAUGGUAAAGAAACAAAUUAAUCUAGCUAUCAAAGCAUAGAGUAUUACUAAACCAAUUUUAUCAUCUUUAUUAAACAAGAUUGUGAAGUUAUCAUACAACAAAGAUCAUUUAUAUGAAAUAAACCAUAACCAGGGAGCAUGUUAUGCCAAGUGACCUCUGGUUAUCAAACAAUCUAAAAUAUCACCCAAAUCCUAAAGGGAUUAAUUAUUUCUAUUUCUUUUAUAAGCAUUUAAAUAGCUUUAUUAAGAAGCAUAGCAUACUUUAUCAAACAGAGCUGAAAUUAAUCAUGAAGCUAGAUAUCAGUUACACAAAAUCACAUAUUAAAUUUCAUGAUUUUUGGAUACACCCAUAAUUGAUUAAAAAUCAUGGAAGAUUUAUUUAUUAUUAAACAGAGGCAAUUUUUACAUACAUGCAAACUAUCAGAAAAUAGAAUCUAAUAUUUUUCAUGUGUUCUACUCAUUUUAAGGAAGCCAUACAAAAAUUCUCAUAAUUUUUUGGAUUAGCACAAAAUUUAUUACACAAAUUCAAAUAUAAAACUAAAACUGCAGAAAAAGAAAAAGAAAACGUUACUGCACAGUGGACAAAAAUCGGCCCGCAGGCCGGCCCACUCCACUCGGCCCGCGCGGACGCUGCGCGCGCCUCCCGUUCUCUCAGCGAGGUCGCUGACAGGUGGACCUCACCUGUCAGUUCUAUCCCCUACACGCGCGGCGACUCGGCCGCGACUCCGGCGGCCGAUAGCGAGGUCCUCGGCCUCCGCGCGCGCGCGCAUCGGCUCCGCCUCAACUCCGCGACUCCAUAGGUACCAUUCGCGGACGCUCUACCUCACUGCUACCACCUCGGCCACGAUAGGAGCGGGCGGUCGCCAUGGCCGACUGUCGGCCGGCCACUAGGGCCCGGUAGAGAGCAAACGAAAGGCGUAGGGAGGUUCAAGGUGGUUUAGGGAACACGAUGCUCACUUCACCACGGCGGGAGAAGCAGCUGAAGUUGCUGGCGACGGAGACAGUGCAAUCGGGCGGGCGCUCCGGCUCCGGCGAGCUCGUCCCGGCGAUUCUGUUCGUGCCCAAAGCAAAAAAGAGAGCGCAUGAGCUACUAGAACACAAGUAGAACUUGAAACAGCGGCCGGAUAAGCAUGAUACCGAGCAGAAUACCGUGGCCACGGAAAAAGACUCACGGCGGCGGUCUCGGUCGGAGUUGGAGAGGAUAGAGGUGUCCCGACGAUUGAGAGGGUUAUGGGGCGAGCUUGGUGGUGUUCUGGAUUCGCAAGGAGGUGGCGAACAUCGUGGACGGCUCAAUUUGAUGCGAGGAGGAUCGAGCACGGCCAAUUUGGAUGGGGACGGGGUACUGCUCCUCGGUGCUCCGGUGGCGGAAAAGCAGUCGGUGCUCGCAGAAGAGAAGGGCACGUCGCGCCUCUGGUUGCCAGCAGCUGCUCCACAUCGUCACGGACGUGAACACGCGCGUGGACGAGGUAAAACGGUGGCCAUGCGCUGGCAUUCACCGAUCCAGACUCGGGUGUCCACCGCCAUGAACAGGAGCCAAAGCUUAUCCCCCCCUUUUUGUCUGGUUUUGCAAAAAAACGACCAAAAGAUGAACUGAAGCCAAAUUUUCACCAAAAAUAAACUUGUGCAAAAUUUUGUGAGCUACAAAACAUCUUUUGGUGGCCAGAGCUAAUUCUGGGUGGAAAAUAGCUAAAUUUUCUCAACAGUUUUGAAAUUCAAGCUCAAUUCCAAAUUUUUGAAUUGGGGCAAAACAGAGUUUCCAAAAUUACUUUUGAUUUUGCAUAACAACUUGAAAAACUCCCAACAUGAAAGUUGUUCAACUUUUCAAGCUCUACAACUUUCAUGUUGACCACUUUUCAAAAUUCCAAACAGAUUUUGAAUUGGAGAUUUAAGUUUGAAAAGGGGACACUUUUCGGAAAUCUGUAUUUUCAAAAUUACUUUGAAUUUUGUACUGAAACUUCAAAAACUCAAAACACCAAAGUUGUACAUCUUGACAAGAUCUACAACUUUGCUUUUGAACUCAACUUCAAAUUUUGCUUAGUUUUUAAAUUACACAAAAGGGGACAAAUCUAGGGUUUUGAAAACUAGGGUUUCCCCCCUAAGCCUUUCGGAAAAACUUUCACCCAAGGUUUUUAAACUCCAAAACAAACAUCCAUACAUAAAAUAAACACACUUUACUUCCUAAACACAUUCAUCCAAUUUAAACUUAUUUUAAGUUAAUGCAUUAGUGUGUGCUUAACGAAUUUACGAUGCAAUGCUCAUGAUGACAUGUCAUGUUUUAGUUCGCUUAACACGAGAGUGUUACACUGUGCAAUUAGUUUUUGUUUUUAUUUAUAUUUAAUGGUUCAUGCAUGUGCCGCAAGAUUCGAUGUGAUGAGAAAUCUUGAAAAGUUUUUAGUUUUUGGAGUGAACUAAACAAGACUUAAGCUUGCUACUGCACUAAAUCUUCAAAGGCUAAUCUUUAUCAUAAUGAAGUACUGUCGACUGCGGCCAACAGAAGGGUCCUCCUUCGCAAUCCUGGUCAUUGGUCUUUGUGGCCAAUCCUAGUGGACUUUUUAGCUACCAAAACAAACAUGUUGCACUCUAUUAUUAAAAUUGGAAGGAACACAAAUAGAGUACUCGAGAUAUUAUAAAGAAAGUAAGACAAGCUUCAAUUCCUAGCUCUUGCUUGUUCUCUUGUGAGUCUUGGACGUAAACUUUUAAUGAGGCUAUUUUUUUUCCAUCUUCGUACUCUGUAUUUAAUCUUUGAAUGAAAGUUACCUGGCGUUUUAAAGAAAAAAACAUUAUGCUAUGUGCAUGGGCAUAACAGCAGCAGCCACGGAAGACCAAACUCAUCAAUCCAACCUAGGAGAGAGUAGGAGGUUGUAGUGGGCAAUGAUGUCAUAAAAAAUGCGUUGGCGAUGCAUGUACGAGUUCACAAGUAACCUAAGAGCCCAAAAGUAGUUGUGCCUGAUUUGUUGUGAGAGAAAACCACUGCUAAAUGGCUGACAGAUUCGGCUAAUAAACUCAAGUGAAUAGGUUGUGUAUUGUUAGUCUUGCUCCUAAGGAUCUGUAUGCAAGCAACCAUAUUAGUUUGUAUUCCUUGGUCUCAUUAACAUGCUUUAAAUAAAUACAGAUGUCCUAUUGGAUUUAUGAUACGAUAGAAUGAUAAUUUUGUUACAAAAUUUGAAUGCCAAGGUAACUCCUUCCAAACGAUCUCCAAGGUACAACAUUGACUACUAGCAGACUGAAAAUGAACUUGACUUGGGAUAGAUGGUGCAAUAAUGUCAUAGAUGGUGCAAUGCUUAUGUGUUUAUCAGGACAUGUUUAGUUUUCCAUGGAAUACUCCAUUCAUCCCAAAUUGUAAGUCAUUCUUAGAGUCUUGGAGAGUCAAAACAUCUCAAGUUUGACCAAUUUUAUAGAAAAAAUUACAAAGUUUCGUGGCAUCAAAUAGAUAUACUAUGAUAAUAUAAUUAAUAAAGAACCUAACUAUACUUAGUUGAUAUCAUAAAUGUUAUUAUCCUACCAUAUAAAUUUGGUCAAACUUGAGAUGCUUUGACUCUACAAGAUUCUUGGAUUGACUUAUAAUUUAGAAUGGAGGGAGUACUUUAUAAUGAUGAAAUGCAAAAUGCCAAAAUUUUUAGAAUUAUGUUUAGUUCCAUCUAAAACGCAGAUUUUAUUGUCCUUAUUAUGACCUCUUGAGGCUCUUUUGAGGGUUUUUUAGCCUCUUGAAGUUAAAAUCUAAAAUGGAGAAUAGUCACAUUUUUGUCAAAAAAAAUAUAUGAUAUUUAAUCCAUUAUGCAAAAAGAAUAGACCAAAAUUCAAAAUUUUUUGGAAUGAAAUGGGAACUAAACACCCCCUAUAUCCCGUGGCUGAUCAUGAGCUGCCUAUAACACAAUAACUGGAAACGAACUUGAGACUUUGGGAUGACACCACGAUGCAUUGAUGCUAGAAGUGCGUUUCAAUGCCUUUUUUUUUAGAAAAUCGUAGUGGAUGCGAAGUCAGCAUCAUACAGCGAGCUCAGCUCACAAUGGGACACUAGUACAUUGAAAAACAAGAAAUAAAUAAAGUACGUAGUUUGGCAGUUGAGGACGUUGGGAAGUCAGCAUAUGAUCUCGCAAAAGUUGCCUAGUGGCCACGGAAUCAGCGGGAGAUCCUAGCUAGCUUAAUAACUUGGUGUCUACACGCAUGAUCGAGCAGGCGAGUAAGAUGACAAUGACAUACAGAUCGGACGCCUUUUAGACCAGACCGACCCAUGCGAAGUGCGCGGCAAACGGUUUUCAGUUGUUUUUGGCUGCGCCGCGUGUUGGUUACCUGCAGCAAAUGGCCGACAAAUUCCUUGCUUUGGCCAUACUUAAAAGCCCCCUCCCGGCAGCCAGAACUUGGCGCCGCACGCGCGCGCCGAGACCCACUGUUCCAUUGAUGGAUCGAGAUCGAUCCUAGGCCCUAGCUCAGCAGAGCAAAAGCAAAAGAUUCUUUGCAUUGCGCCAUUUCUUUAUCUCUCUCCAGUUCGUGCCUCGGCCGGCGGCUACGUUUUCGAUAAUUAAAUCGAUUGUAGAUCGAUCUUUGGUUAGUCUCAAUGAGAUCUUAUUAAAGUUUUAUUAACAUUAAAUAUGGAAGCUAUUAGGAGAGAGUUAGCUGACUCAACAACAGCUAGGGAUAUGAUGGAGAAGGUGCUGAAAAUGGAGGCCAAAACACAGACACAGGUUGUGCUCUUACUUUGGCUCUGGUGGGGGGAACGGAACAAAUGGAGGGAGGAAGAAAGAAGGAGAUCAGGGGUUGAAGUGGCGUAUGUAGCCGCAGCACUAGCUGACAGAGCGCACACAAGCCAGUUGCAAAAACCCAUUUUAGGGAGGGUGUUGUUGGACGAGCGUCAGAUAAAGGCCUGGGCAAGACCAGCGCUUGAUACUCUGAAACUGAACUCGGACGGGGCUUUUUUCGAGCAGUCCGGGGAAGGUGGCUGGGGUUUCGUGAUCAGUGAUCAUCAUGGCUCAGUUCAAAAGGCAGGCUCUGGGAGGGAAUGAUUUCUGCAAAGUGCGCUCCAUGCAGAAUUGUUGGGGUGUUUGCACGGGAUCAGAAUGGCAAUGGCGAUGGGGAUUUCGAGAAUCACCCUGGAGACAGAUGCGUUGCAGGUGAAAACUGCGUUGGAAGGAGAGGAGUACAGGCUCUCUUCGAUGGGAGGGAUUAUUGCCGAAAUUAAGCAGCUUAUGGUCUCUGAAUUCAAUCAAUGUAAAGUUAGUUUUUGUCCUCGUGGAUGUAAUAGGGUAGCGCAUGCUUUAGCAGAAAUUGGGUGUAAGUUGCCCAGUAGCCCUUAUGCUACUUGGGAUGAUGUUCCUCAUGAUCUUGAGGACCUUGUCAUCAGCGAUUCAGUUGGUGGGGAUGAGUAAUGAAAGCCAUGGUUUAAAAGAAAAUAUGUUAAUGUGACAUUAUAUUAAUAAAGAGAGAUGAUAAUAGUUUUAUGAGAGUAAAGAUAGUUUUAUAAGAAUAAAAUUCUUUUAUGUUAUUUCUAAAAUAUGGAUGUGUCAAAAACCGAUGAUGGCUCAGAGGCAAUAAUGGUAGCUUCCUAGCUCGGGUGGUUAACGAGCCGGUGGUAUUGAGCUGAAAGGGGCCCGUAAUUCAUUUAAAAACUGAAAGGAACCGAGCAUUACUUGGUAAAAAGAAGCAUAACUUUCAGCCUCUCCAUACUAAUAGAUUGUUUGGUUUGCCGGAUCAGAUUGCCCAAGUCAGGUUGGUUCCGACACUGCUACAAAAUUGAAAUUCACUAUCGGCCCUCAACUGCCGGGUAUUUUAAAACAAGCAGCGAUAGAGUACUGCUGAUCAUUUAUGGCUUCAAACGAUAAUUAUAGCUUUUUUAUAAAAGAUAUAAUUUUUUACAAGAUCAUAUUAAAAUAAACUUUAUAUCUUAGUUGACAUUUUAUCUAAAACUUUAUAGUUGAUAACUUUCUAAUUUAAUUUAGAUAGCUUAUAAGUCUAAAUAUUUAAUAUAAUUUCUCAGAAUAGAUUUGACAUGAUUAACAAUGUUGAAUGGAGAAAAAGUCAACAUCAAAGUUACAGUACUCGACGAGAUCUACACCUUUAUAGUUAACAACCUUUUUAUUUAAGAUUGCUUUGCGUGUCCAAUAUAUUAUAUAAGAUUUGAGAAUGUGUAAUGACGUACUGUUCAUUGAUUUGUUGUGAGAGAAAAACACCGUUGAAUUGCUGGUAGAUUCGGCAGAUAUAAGCUCAAGCGAACAGGGUUGUAGUCAUAUGUGUCACGUAGCUCAGCUGGUAUGAGUGCUCGAGGAAACAUGAACGCUCUAGGUAAGUUUGAAUCUUGGAAACCACAUAUUUGGUAGCAAUAGAAAAACCACGUCCCAGUAAAACCGACAGUGAUAGAAAAAAAACACAUCCUUGCGAUAGUGCCAAAACCACAUCCCUAUGGUAGUGUCGGACAUGAAAAACAUAUAAAUUAGAGAAAUAAACAAAAGUUCAGUGUCGAAAAUAUAUAGGUUGGAUGUAUGGAUUCAGCGGCAAGUUCAUUUUGACCAAACCAUAGUACUAAACGGGUACAUAUAUUGACACAAACCCACCCUAAAUUCAUUUUAACAAGAGAAAGAAAAAUAACUUCACUUGAGAAUGGUACUGUAGCAAAGAUUCAGAAUUUAGGAGACAUGCCAAAUAGAUCCUAAGAAUUAAGACACAACUAUACAUUGGAUAUCUCGUUGAACACUAGGAUGUGCCAUCAUAGGGGCACCUCACGUGUAGCAUUUUGAAGUUUUAACACGCACAAUGUCAGGGCAGCUUCAACAAUGACUUAUGAGCUAAAUUUUAAUUAUUUUAUUUUAUAUUUUACUAGACAAGAGAGAAAAGAUAUCUCUUGACCAAGGGUUAGUCUCAUACACACAUUUCAAGAUCAUAUGAGAUUGUCAUGUGACCCUAAUCAUAUUAUAAGUUGUUACUAAUAAAAGUUAACAUCAUUAGAGAAGUUAUCUUAGAGCUAAUAACUAGCUAUUGAGGUUGCUUUUACUGUUCAUGGCGAGGUCCGAAGUCAGAAAUUUUGGUCAUGGGUUCUAGAAGCUUGAGUUGUACAGGAUUUCGUUAGUAGAACGAUGAACCAAUGCUCGUUAGAGAGAACUAUCAAGGUAAUUGUACUUCGGAACGCACUAGCGUCCACUUAGGACGUCUUCAAUGCCAGUGUGGACGUUUUAUAGAUUAGUCACUGUCAGGAUGAAGGAAGACACUUAGGCCUUGUUUAGAUGUGAAAAGAUUUUAGAUUUCGCUACUGUAGCACUUUCGUUUGCUUGUGGUAAAUAUUGUCCAAUUAUAGACUAACUAAGAUCAAAAGAUUCGUCUCGUGAUUUACAAAUAAACUGUGCAAUUAAUUUUUAUUUUUUAUCUAUAUUUAAGACUUCAUGUAUGUGUCGAAAGAUUCGACGUAACGGGGAAUCUUGAAAACUUUUUGGUUUUCAGGUGAACUAAACAAGGCCUUUGAAACAAUGAGAUCAAGCAAAAGGACAUGGAACGUGUGACGUCUGUUCUAGAAUCAUGGUAAAAGAAAGGGUUUACUUAUUUGUAUUGUUCAUUCGGGAGAUGGAACACUUAUAUUUGGAACGAUGUUCCUGAACAAGAAACAUGUUCCUGAAUAAGGGUAUACUUUUGCUAUGUAUGAGGAGAGGUGGGCAAUUCAUUUACGUGGAAGAGUAAGGAGCGAGCAGCAAUUAUUUUAUUUAAUUGCGCUAAUCAUGACUCGAACUCGAGACCUCUGUCUUUGAUACCAUAUUGAGUUACAUGCACCGACCAGUUCAACUCAAAAGCUUAAGCUGAUGGAAAAAGAUGGACAAUUCACUUAUAUUCCAACACACAUCUAAGUGCAAAGUAAAAAUAAUAUAUGUAGAAAAGACAAAAUGUCUUGUCGAAAAAGAGAUACUUUAGAUGAAGCGAAGUACAUAGUACAUUAAAAAGACACCAAAUGAAAUCUUCAUUCACUGAAUCAGGAGUGUUGUUAGCUACACCCACCCACAAACACAGUAAAAAAAAACCGCGGAAAGCCGACUUGACGACCUUGGAUUUAUUCCACACACACACUGUCCCGUGAGCCGAGAAACGUAGCACUCGUCGCCUAUACGGCGUUAUUACGGACGGGGGAUCAGUGAUGCUGAGGGUCCGGGCCUCCAGGGCUCAGCCUCUUGGACGCAGCAGCUACGCUCCCGUCUUCCCCAGCCUCGACGUCACUUGGCACGGGCACCGGCAUCGGCACCUGCAGCAAGGGCGGCGGCAGCCGUGCCGCGUCGGUGCCUGGAGCACACAUGGACAACACAACGAACGGCACCACCAGCAACAACAAUGCGCUCGUGAGGACGACGACGUUGGUAAGGGACGACGACCUCGCCAUUCGAUCGGUUGGGAGCUGGCAACGCAAAUAAAGGUUGUUCAAGAAACUUGCUUGGGGUUUACGUGUGUGCUGUGCUUGAUGUGGUGGUGCGAGCAAGCAGAGCUUGAGCCGCAUUAUAUAGGCGCCAACUGCAACUGCCAAGCGCCAUGGCCGGCGUCGUUAACCGUUGCAAAAGCGAUCGAUCAACACGACGAGUUCAAGUUGUUCUUUGUAG